rnacentral:lncRNA from 1 species
UUUCUAUCAUUUCAUUAUAUACGCCACUCUUUCCUAACUCAGACUGGAAAACAAAACGUUUCAACCUUGCACUCCAUCAAAACUUCAUAUCAUUCAAAACUUCUGUAACAAGAUCUCUCAUAAUCAGAGUUUCAAUCUCUCUUCCAAGAAUAUUAACGUCUUCCUCCACCAGUUCUGACCACAGCGAGGAUCCCAGAUCCCGGGCAACUAUUUCAUCCAGGGAGUGACAGUGUUUAUCAUUUGGAGGGUAUACAUAACGAUAGAUAAUCCCCCAAACAGAAUCUAACAACUUCUUACCACGUAAAGGUGGCAGGGCAGAAGAGUUGAUAGCUUUUCUUCUGAAUUUAGACAUGUUUAAUGGAGGUCCAAGAAUAGUUGAAAGAGCUUCGUUCAAUAAAUCAAGGAACAACUUGUGAUUUACCUUCCCAUUGUGAUCUUUGGUUGAGUUAUCGUCUGCACUGGCCAGCUUUUUAUAAGAUUCCUCCACUUCUUUGAACACGGAGAGGCUGAUGGGUUUCCCAGACGUGUCAUAUCUAGAAAAGGAUUUCUCGAAUGAUCCAUCGUACAAACCAGAAGCAACAAGCAAAUCUUUUAUGUAAACCUCUGCCGGGUUCUCUAGUCCAGACAUUUCAGAUUCGACCACUUCUUGUUCACCUGAUGCAUCGUCAGGCUCAUCAGACUCAAGUUGAUUCAGUUGUCUUCUUAGUUCUGUAGAAUCAAUAGAAGAUGAUUCACAUUUCAGGUCUUACACAGAAAAGCAUAUUUGUUAUCUUGUGAUCUGAUAAGGAUGGCCAAAUAUGUAAACCUUGUUGAUCCUGGAACCGUUACAUUGGAACUAAAUGGAUUUAGCAGAAUUGGGACAUAUUAAUACUGUAACGGUCAUGCAUGGAGCAUAAACACAGACAAGCACACAAUAAAAAACUCAGGAGUACUGUCAAUAAGCAUGUAUCAUAUUCAUACCAACCACCAAAUUUCAUAUUAAGCACAAAAAAUAUGUAGAAAGAAAUUCAUACCACUUAGAUUAUCGCUGAUGUCUCUGAAAGCCUGUGGCACAAAUCUGUCAUCUCUUGGAGUUGCAUUUGGAGUCGAUACUGGACUAAGACAAUCAGCUGUCCUGCAAAAAUCGUCCUGAGCAGUGCUGCAAACAGAUGCAGGACUAGGAGGCACCUCAGUGAAAUUAUCCUGAGACCAGAACAGAAGAAAUGACAUUAGGAUACAAAUUGAGCCUAUUGAAUCCGAGAAUAAUACGUAAAAAGCAUAGGGAAAAGAAAUGUCUCUUACAUGUCUCUCUCUAGAGUUGGUAAUAACUGUUGGACCACUCCUGAUGUCAUUCACAGGGUAAUGUUCAGUAUGGCUUGAUUCAGUCACUGAUUGAAUUCUUUUUCCAAACAGUCUUCCCUUAAGAGUAAAAUUGUAUUUGAAAUGGGAAACCUUUUCUUUGAAAUUGAACCUUUCUUUCUUCUGACUCUUCAUAUCCAAGGACACAUGUUCAAUGGCUUCAUGCUUUCUCCGAAUGUGAGCACCAGUCAAAAUGUGGCGGUUCUCCAGAAGAAGCUUCCCAAAUGAUGUUCCGGAUACUGGGGCAGAUAAGGACCUAAUGAGAUUUCUAGGGGACAAUUCUCUAUCCAGCAGCUUAUCGUCAUCUGAUCCAUGCCUGAAGGAUCUGGUUUUCACAUGGUCAUCUUUCACCAUUCCCCUUCCCCAGAAACUCAUAUCUUUUUGAGCUUCCAAAGUAUCUCCCACCUGCUUUACUUUGAACCUUUCAUAGUCUAGUGCAGAUGACCCGUAGCUGCCAGAAGAAAAUACAGGAGAAUUAAAUCCGGUCUCUCUUUCUGAAACAUUUCUUAGUCUCUCUAACAGGAACCUUCUAGUAUCUCUAUGUAUAAAUUCUGGGGAUCCUGCUCUAUCAUAUUGAACUUCACUUCUGUAUGAUCUUGUUGAUUCUGAUCGAAGCAAAUUCACUCCAAGAUCCCUAGUCACACUUUCUCGGACAUGGUUUGCAAUAUGCCGAGCAAUUUGCUUUGGAUCAGAUGGCUGUUCACUAAAUGGGGUCUCAAUUCCACUUCCUCGGACAACUGAACCCCUUUUAUGCACCUUCCCUUGGAGUUCACAUCUCAGUCGGUCCUUCACCUCCUCGAGAAAAUCUUCUAUACUACCCCUCUGAUCUAAAGUGCUUGGAGAAUUGAUCCAAGUCUCUUCAUGGUUGCAAAAGCUAUCAGGACCAGGUUUUAAGAUAACUAUCCUUGUAGGAGUUGAAGAUAUGUUCACUCUCUUCCUGGAAUUCAACAAGGAGGAUUGCUCAAAGUCUAAGCUCUUGGUUCUGCUUUUUGAAGAUAAAGAUCUUGUGUACUCAGAUGGGAAUAAAUCCAUUGCAUCUACACGAUGUGACGAAACACCUCUUUUGUGUGAGAUUUCUUUUACACUGUGAUCUAUUCUUUCCAUAGUCUUCUCAAUUGUCAUUUGCUUGGAUUUUGCAGAAACUGCUGUCUUUUCCUUGUUGAGAUGCUCUUGAGCAAGCAACUCUCCUGAUAUGCUGUCAUUUUCGAUAAUCCUUGAACAUUCCUUAAACCUGGCAGCUUGCCAUGCUUCAAAUUCUUUCUUGAACUUCUGUAGUUCCUUCUCUUGAGGAUGCUCUUCACGCCUUGGUUUUCCAACUUUCUGAUCUUCACACCAUCCAGCAUCCUCUGUGCCAUUAUUUUGAUAGAAUGAAUUGAGAUCCAACUCUCUGGAUGAAUUUAAGUCUGAAGAGACAUGAUCAACUGAGCUCUUUCCAUUCAUUUCCUUCUUUGAAGACUUUGUUCUCCUAUAUUCAUGUUUAUUCUCAAUUGGCUGAACUGCUGAUUUUAUAUCCACUGGCAACAUAUCCAUCCCCAUAAGCCGUGCCACAAUGCUUGGUCCAUUGUGCCUGGUACUUGAGCGUUUGGAUAUUUCCUCAUUGAUCAAUUUCUUCAUUGAACUUUCAAGUGGAUAAUUCUUUUUGGGACCAACUUCUUUCACCUGAUACAACUACAGAGAUCAGCACACAAAAAUUUAUCAAAACAGUAACUACAGAGAGGGAGCGCUACAACCAAACGUUUACAUAAGAUAUGCUAAUUACUCAUGGGAUUAAGUGUAUGGAUCAGAGUUGAAACUUUAUUCAAAUUGUCCUCCUUUGGCCUGAAUUUUCUCACAAAGUCUGACACGACCCAACUUAAUAGAAUAAAACAUAGUAAGGAAACAUGUUAAAAUUAAAGGGAAGAUGCAUGAUGCAUUUGAACGAAACAAUCAGAUUAUAUAAUAUGCAAGCAGAAGACGAAAACAGAGAGUUUUUCCUGUAAGAGUGUGAGACAGAACUGUUGGACCAAAUCCAGUAGCAGGUGUAUGACAAGCUGGAAAUUAUGUAAAGCUUCACACCAAAGACUCACAAUGCACCAUGUAUCACAAGAAUCACACAUUUUGGGGAUUUGAAAGAUUCACAAGAAUCAUAUUAGUACACAGCCUAAAGAGAAGCAGACCACUCUAAAUCCAUAAUAAAGCACAAGAUUACCGGCAAAUCUCCCAUGUCACAAUAGCUCUGAGAAGUUUCUACUUGCAUCUCCAAGCUAUUUCGUGGAGCAUCAAGGCCUGCAAUGUGUUCAAAACAUCUUAAUAUAUCAGAUUAUUCACAUUCUCCUGAUAUAGAUAAAAACCUUUCCAGAAAUAAUUUCUCUAAAAGACAAUCACUGUGCCCAUGUUAAGACUUCCAUGACUAAUAGAUACAGAUUUUUUUAACAUACGAAUCAAUAAAAAUUAAUUUGCUGAUCCAACCAGAAAUCAUUAAAACUAUAACUGGCAGUUCUUCUCAUUUCAGAUUGAAAUGAUAUCCAAUCAAUCCCAAACCAGACCUUCACUAUUUCAAGUUGUAUUAAAUGAACAAUAGAACUCACCACCAUCAUGUUUCUUAUGCACAAAAAGCUUCCUGGCCAUGCUGCCUUGAUUGAAAUCAAAAAGGUGCAAUAAGCCUCCCAUGCAGUCCCUGGAUCUACCAGAAGGAUAUCAUUCUCUUUGCACUGUCUAUGUCUCUUUACCCCAUCAAGUACCCAAUGUCAAUGUCUUUCAUCCACCAAAACAAUUCUCUGACAACUCGCGCAGUCGAAUUUAGCCUGCAAAAAACCAAUACAAGCCCAGAUUUCAGUUUAAUGAGCAGAACACAUCAAGCAAUGCGUAUCUAGCACACCUACUCAAUAAUUUACAAUUCCAACAAACAUGGUCCACCAUAUGAGUUCUUUCUUUUGCAUAACGAAAAGCAGACUACAAACCAAAAGAAUGAGGGGCCAAUCCAGCAAACAAAAUCAUUGAUAUGAAAGAACACUAAUUGCACAUAAGACUUUAAAUCAAUCAUCUCCACUCAUACACCGAAAUCCCAGAAAGAAGGUAAGGAUUUAGCAUAAAGAAAUAAACUUUGCUGUGAAUUCCCACCAAUCUAUUCAGUUUAACCAACCCUAUAACCAAAAUUCAUCAAUUUCCAAAACCCAGAAUCUGUUGUGAAAUUUGAGAAGGAAAAAAAGUAAAAUGCAAUGAAAGAAAAAAAGUAAACUAAAAAAGCUUGGAGCUUUUAUCUCACUGUGUUCCUGGUCUUGUUUCGUAGCAACCAAACCAAUUCAGUUUGACUAGACUCAUAAACAGAAUCUCAUCAAACUCAAGAACCCAGUAACAUUUUCAGAACUGUGAGAAGAAUAAAUAAAAGUAAACAUAAAAGCCUGACUAACCCAAUAAAAGCUUGAAGCUUGUUUCAGAGGAGCCAACCGAAGUGUCAGUUUCAAACUCAGUUAUGGCUUUAUGGGAUGAUGAGGUAGAUUAAGGACGGAGAUGAAAGUUAAGUGAAUGAACGAGAGAGAUUUCAAAGCUUCCGAGGAAUUGUGAGUUCGAUUGGAUCGUUGAUUAGAAUAAUGAUGAUAAAAUAUCUUCAAUAAUAAAAGUGGAACAGAGAAAGCUACUGCCGCUUUUGGUAUGGCUGGAAAGAACCGAGGCUUCCAUCUCCUCCUAUUCCCACUCUACUCAAUUCCACACAUCUUUUCUUACUCUGCUUUUUCAUUCAAAUUCUAAUGCAAGAUAAAAGUAGCUAGCAACCUCAACUCAUAGUCUCAUAUCAUUGGAAAAAUGGUUUAAAAAGCAAGAAAAGUUACAAACUUUAUGAACUCUGUGACACUCUCCGAUCUUGAUUUAUCAUGUAUAAUUUAUAUUUUUGACUGAUUUCAUACUACUAUGUAUAAAAUUAACCUUCUUAACAUAUUUGAGUUCGUGCAAAUUAAAACUAAACCCGCGUACACGUAUCUUGAUGAUUAAUUGUUGUGUCCCGGCAACAUUACAUCAAGCAGUACUACUCCAUUGAAAAUUUGAAAUGUGCAAGAGACAUGUACCUAAAUGAACAAAAACAACAUCUCGAAUAUGCCUUGGGAAUUAGUCAAACUUCCAAGAUAGACACCCCACAAAUAUCAGGCACACCUAAUUGCACCUUAACCAUGUGUAUGCGUCCUAUCGACUCUAUUGCUCGGAUUUAUCAUUAUUAUAGAUGUUCUCUUAAUAAUUGCCGUAAAAUUGAAUGUGACAAUUAUUAAGAGAUGUCACUUAUUAUCAAUAGUGACCAAGUCCCUUGAGAAAUUAUCAACGUAUAUAAUACAUGGCUUAAUGUCGAAUAGAAUGUUUAGGGGAAGAAAAUCCCAACAGAAUGCAAGGUGGAACAGUUUAUUGCUCAUUUGGUUGUUCCAGAUGGUCACCACUGGGUACUAAAACACAAAAACAAAAACAAAAAAAUUCCAAAAAUAUAAAGAAAUGAAAAUGGAAGUGAAUAUUUUAUGGAUGAUGAUCCAAGAUUAGAAAUUAAAAUAUAAGAGAGAUGGAUGGUGAUUGGUUGUAGGGUUUGUAGUAGCACGUAACGAACAGCUCAAUGACAGUUGCUUUUGCGCACGACACCUCCAUUUGGCGCCUUCACCAUCAUCAACCAUCAACUUCCAACAAUAACAACAAGAAGAAGAAGAAGAAGAAGUUGUGUGCCUAGCUAGCUCCAUUUUUAUAUCAUUCUUCUUCUUCUUCUUCUUUGCUGCCUUCUACAGCACACAGGUGCGCUUAUCACACGCUUCAGAUACAGUUCGGAUCCUCACAGAAUCCGGGUUCUUAAUUAAUAGACUCACCAGGAGCUGCUUGCCGGGGACUUUCCGGCGAGUGUCUUAUCAUUUUUCUUCAUUAGAUGGACUAGAUAAAUUACAUGUCAAUUGUCACGUCCGAUAUGAUAGUUUUAAUAGUUACGUUUUGGACAAGAUAUUCAGUUCAAGCAUGCGGAAAGUUUCUUUUUUUUCCCUACUUCUUUUCACCAUCUCACCUAUGUGCCAAGUCCGUCAACUAAAUAUGUGUUCACAUCAUUCUGUUCAACCACAUUUUUAUUAUUCUCAAGGCGAAUUGUACACAUCAUGUGAUAGAUUGAAGAUUGCAGACAGUGAGAGGGUUCAAAUGACCCUUCUCACUUUUCCUUACACAUGAUAGGUUGAUACAUUAGUAUACUUCCAUAUUUAUAUUACAUAAUUAGUGUAAAGUUUGACCCUUAUUACAUACGAUUUUUAGACAAUUUAAGAAAAUAUCUUAAAAUAUGAGCAAUCGUCAUGGAUUGCUUAGCGUAAGACAAUUUAAGAAACAAGUCCCACCGUCACUCCCGAGUGAGGAAGAUUUUUUGUUUAGCGUAAUAUUACUAUUAAAUUAUGACUCUCAUAAUUUAUUUUUCUGGCUACGCCACUAGUUGCAGAUAGUUAGCUAGACAUAUAAGUUUGUGGAAGAAUGGAGUUGUGUAGGAAUACUCCGAGUAAAAUUGGUGGGUUGAUCUGUUGAUGUUUAGCAGCAAAGUAAAAGUAAAAGUAAAAGUAAAAGUAAAAAGAUGAGCACAAAAUAAUCCAUUAACCGAAAUAAGAAUGUAACAGACAUGCAAUAGUGUAAGAGAUAUGUAACAAAAAAGAAAAUGAUCGACCCAUACAAUAGUCUAGUUUAGGAACUCAAUCAACUCGAUCUAAUUAAAUUAAACUGAAGUACUUGAUCUCUUGCCGAAAACCAACAGUCAAAUUCAGUCGAUACAUGUAACACACCAAAGUUUAGCUGGAAAUGGAUGAUUUUUGUUCUAUAUGAAUGUCCUCUUUAGGAGAACUAACACCCCACCUUUGAUUCCUUGAACACACAAUGUGCUUCUCACAUCAGUCACAUGACCAAAAUUACUAAACAACAAGAUAGCCUAUUAUUCUGCAAACCCGUGUAAAAGCAAAUCUGAAAAGCUCAUAAACCCUUAUCCCAUACAACAUUACAACUCAUUCGAUCAUGGUUUCGCUAACCCGAGUGGGGCAGAAGCCAAAACCCUCCCAUGAUCACAAUGAUGCCCAGAACGCUCUCUCAUGUGCUCCAAAGCCAAAACCCUAGCCAGCUCCGUCUCUUCGUGAUGAUGAUGAUGAUGGACUCCAUUAUAGCUUUCUAAAGGGACCAAAGGUUUCAGGGCAACUUUCAAAACCAGACCCACCUGGCGGGUUCGGAUUCGGGCACGUGCUGUGGGUGUUAAAGUCCGAUCCGGAAGUGUAUUAUUAUGGUGGCAGCGGAAAGCUGCCGGAGACUGGGCCACUCAGACGGCGCUGAUCCAGUUGUACGGGUGGUGGAGGACAGUGGGGUCCCCGGCUUUGUUACUGAUUACGGCCGGCCGGGGCAUACAAACCCAUGACCCGGUAGUUUCAGGUUCAUGAUCUAUUUGUUAUUGGGCCUCAGUUUGUGGGCUGAAAGGUACAUAGGUGUUGUUACGGUCCAAUGUCUGUGACCCAAUAGACACGGAGGAAUAUGUUGAUUGUCUAGAAUUGAAUAGAAUAUGUUGUUGUUACGGUCCAUUUGCUAGUUCACUCAAGAUUAUCGGUGCAUCGAUAAUAGACGGAAUCCGGCUAGAAUUGAAUGUACGAUUGUAUCUUGAUAAUAAGCUGUAUCAUUUUCUUGCUAGUCCAAAGUGUCGACUCCGUGUAUAACGGUACAUGGCCAUUUCAUUAAGGAAUUCGUUCUUUUGACCAGUUUAAAAGUCACACUUCAUCGGUGUAUAUGUUUUUUAAAGACAUUGGAUGACUGAGAUUAAGUAAAAAUAACACUUUUUGUCAAACUUAAGUUGUUCAAGGUCAUAAAAAAUAAAUCCAAAUUUUGAAUGUUGUAACAAUUAUCAAUUCGGUAUUUGGCUUAAAUUUCACAUAAUUGAUCUACUUAUAUAGACUUAGAAAAUGAGUGGUGGAGAUUUGGAUUUGUGAUUGAAAAGUUGUCACAUAUCAUCAGUUCCUCGAAAUGACAACUUCCUUAGUAGAAGUGUCAUGUAUAACAAUAAAUAAAAUGCUCAUGUCUUUUUUGAUAAUGUUUUAAUAAGAUUUAGGUGAAUUCUUGAUCAUGUAUUACAACCACGUGAGUCGAAUUCACAAUCUCCCACUUACUAAAUGGAGACUCUAUGCCGCUAAACCAAAUGAUACUGAGUUAUAAAAUAUCAAUUUGAAGUUGAUUUUUUCACUUCCAGUAAUGAUAUUCUUAAAAUGAUCAUCGAUUUGGACGCUUCACAUAUUUUACAAAUUAGUAACUAAACUAUACUUAUCACGUCCGACAUCACGAUUGGAGCUCAUUAUCUUCUAUAUUUGACAGAGCUCAUUUUAAUGUUUCCACAUUAGUGGAAAAUAAUAUACAAACUGGAUACCGUUUUCGAAUGCUUUGUAACUUCAUAGACACGUAUGGACAUUUGACCGUUGCAUACUAGCCAAACCACAUUCUCGGCUUUCCAUAUUGGCUAUACUCCACUUUUUGAAAAUCCGUUAAGGUUAGUUAUUUCUCAUCUACUACCCCCUCGGAGAUAUGAUGCUCGGAAAAACCAGAGUUUGGUUAUGAGUUUUACGCCCAGAUUCUCUUUCAUCGCAUAUGAUUCCACACUUUGUGAUUCCCUUAAGUUGCAUAUAUAAAAGUAUGUGACAAUCAUUAAAAUCUCCGUAAUCAUUAUCUAACAAAGCGGAUACAUAUAUUACGUCAAACACAAUAUACCUAAAAAAAAAGACCGACGAGACAUGAUGAUCUUUAUUUUUUCCGUUUUUUUCACUCAUCCCACCGCCGAUAAACCCUCUCAAACAACAGAAUUUGAAAAAGAAAAAACCCACCAUAUAGCAAUUGAUGUUAGAAAAAUGAAAUUAAAAAUGGAAUCUUGAAAUGUUGAACCUGAAAACCACAAAUUUUGGCAACGGGCGCCAAACCCUGAGCCUAAGUAAGCAAUUUCCCGCCUAUACGUGUCCAUUGAAAACCUCUCAAUAAAUAGAGAGCGUCCAAGAGCCACAGUUCUCACUAUCAGACCAACUCCUCCCAUUUUAGCCAUUUCUAGGGUUUCUCCGCCGAUAAGGAAACUAAUGGGAUCCAUCGCGGCAGCCGAUGAUGCCGCCGCCGCCGCCGCAGCCACCGCACCUCUAAACGACGCCGAAUCGGCUCCUUCUGCGCUUUCCUCAGGUAAUUCGGUCCCCUCACUCUCUCGUUUGUGUUCGAUUCUGUUCUCUGUUGUGAUUUUUUUUUUAAUUAGGGUUUUGGUGAUGUAAUUAUUGUUUUCAUUUGUGGAAAUUGUGAGGUUUGGUGGUGGUUGGGUGGUAUGAGUUUGUGAUAAGGGUUUAUGGUGAGGUUUUGUUUUGGUUUUAUUGAUUAAGGAUCUGUAGGUCUUGAUAAGGGUUAUAAUUUUGCUGUGAAUUUGUUGUUUUGUUAGGAUGAUUUGGUUUGUUAUGAGUUUUGAAUUAGGUGAGUUUUCGGGCUGAGUAAUUCGAGUGGUGUUUUGUUUGGAUCAAUGGAUUAUGGAUUAACAGUAAUCGGUUUUGAAUUUAUGAUGUACUUUCUGUAUCAGUAGUCUCGAGAAAUCAUGUAUUGAAUUACCGGAUUUCUCAUGGAUUUGUUUGCUUCGGUUUUAGUUUGUCUUGAAUUUGAGCCGUUUCGUUAAACAAUUUAGAGGAGCUAUACCUGGAUUCUCUUUUAUUCAUUGUAUUGAAUGAAAGUACUUUGUUGCUUUAUGUGUGGGAGUUGAUUAGAAUUAUAUUUAGCUUUACCUUGUCAAUUGUUUUGCCUAAUUUUUGGAGAUUAUGGAAUAGGAACAACGAAGAAGAAGGGUAGAAAAGCUACCCAAAAGGAAGCGCCUGCUGGCGGUAGAGGUAGGAAGCGAAAUGUGCCUCCAACUGGUGAAGAGCAAUCCCAGUCCCGCAAAAUGCCCAAGCGAGCUGCUGCGUGUAAAGACUUUAAGGAGAGGGCUGUUCGAGUUUCCGAAAAGUCUGCUUUCAUCGAAAGCAAGGAGGAGCAGGUUGUGCCAGAUGAAAGUCUUGCCGUAGUCAUGACUUGUGGAAAGGAUCCAGAUGAUGAGAAGCCGAACAGGAGAUUGACUCAGUUUAUCUUGCAUAAUGAAGAUGGUAUUGUACAGCCACUUGAGAUGGUGCAACAUGGUGAUCUGUUUAUUACUGGUACUCUAUUGCCUCUUGAUGCAAGUUCUGACAAUGGCAAGGGCAAGGGAAAGGAAAAGGGUGUUAUAUGUGAAGGUUUUGGGCGGAUAGAAGCUUGGGACAUCUCUGGUUAUGAUGAGGGAUAUCCAAUAAUAUGGCUUACAACUGAUGUUGCUGAUUAUUGUUGUGUUAAGCCUGCAAGCAGCUACAAGAAACACUAUGAUAAUUUCUGUGAGAAAGCACGUGCUUGCAUAGAGGUCUACAAAGUACUGUCAAAAUGCAACUCUGACUGCAGUCUUGAUGAAUUACUUGCUGGCAUCGCUCGAUCAAUGAGUGGAAACAAAUUCUUCUCUGGCAGUGCUUCUAUCAAAGAAUUUAUCAUUUCUCAAGGCGUGUUUAUAUAUAAUCAAUUGGAAGGUUUGGAGGAGUCUUCUAAGAAGAAUGAUCGGGUAUUGGCACAGCUGCCAGUUCUUGCAGCCCUUAGACAGGAGUGUAUAAUGCAGGGAUACUAUGUGACUUCAAACCCAGCAGCUUCAAGCGGUACAUUAAAGAUUGCUUCAGAUGGAGGGAAUAGUUCAUCAAAAGUUGAAACCGAGGAAGACGAAGAUGCCAAGUUGGCUAGACUUAUUCAAGAAGAAGAAUACUUUAAAUCUAUGAAGCAGAAAAAGCGUCAGGGUGCUGCCUCCAUGUCAAAGAAAUUUUACAUCAAAAUUAAUGAAGAUGAAAUUGCUAAUGAUUAUCCUGAACCUGCCUAUUAUAAGACUGCUAUUGAAGAGACAGAUGAAUUUAUAGUGGUUGAAAGUGAGGAUGGGGAUCUUCCCACGCACAUGCUUCACAACUGGUGUCUAUACAAUUCAGACUCGAGACUGAUUUCGCUGGAGCUUCUUCCAAUGAAGGCUUGUGCUGAUAUUGAUGUUACGAUUUUUGGUUCUGGGGUUAUGAGUGAAGAUGAUGGAAGCUGUGGAUUUGAUCUUGACAGUAUCCAGUCGUCUUCAAGUGGUCCAGUAGUACCAGUAGCAGAGGAUGCUUAUGGCAUGCCAGCUUACUUGAGUUCCAUAAAGGAAUGGGUGAUAGAAUGGGGAGCCUCAAUGAUUUCAGUAUCAAUUCGAACAGAACUGGCUUGGUACAGACUUGGCAAGCCAUCAAAGCAGUAUGCUAAGUGGUAUGCACCAAUACUGAAAACAGCAAGGGUUGGGAGAAGUAUAAUCACAAUGCUCAAGGCAGAAAGUCGAGUAGCACGGCUCUCUUUUGCAGAUGUCAUUAAAAGAUUGUCAGAGUUCCCUAACAGCGAUGGUGGUUACAUUUCUUCUGAUCCAGCAUCUGUUGAGAGAUAUGUGGUUGUACAUGGACCGAUAUUACUUCAGCUGUUUACAGAAUUUCCAGAUGGGAAGAUUAAAACUUGUCCAUUUGUUCAUGGUCUUAGAGACAAAAUGGAGAAGAGGCACCAUACUAAAUGGGAAGUAAAUAAGAAGAUUUUGCAGAAGAGUGAAUCAAAUUUGAACCCGAGGGCAUCAAUGGGACCUGUGGCGUCCAAGAGGAAAGCAAUGCAAGCUACGACAACAAAGCUGAUUAACAGAAUCUGGGGGGAGUACUAUUCAAAUUACUCUCCAGAAAAUUCAAGCCCAGUGGAAACUUGUGAAAAGAUAGAGGAGGAUGAAGUUGAUGAAGAGGUCCAGGAGGACUUAGAAGAGGAUGAUGCUGAAGAGAAUUCAUCAGUAGUGAAAGAAGCCCAAAGACCUUCUCCGAUUUUAAGAAAAAUUAAAUCAAGCUCCAGUAGCAAGAAGGUUUUGUGGGAUGAGGAGCCUGUGGGAAAAACAUCUUCUGGUGAAGCUGUCUACAAGCAUGCUGUUCUUCGUGGAGAAGAGAUUUCUGUGGGUGGUGCUGUUAUGGUGGAAGUUGAUGGUUCAGAUGAACUUCCUGUUAUCUAUUUUGUAGAAUACAUGUAUGAAUCAUCAGAUGGAGAAAAAAUGCUCCAUGGCAGAAUGAUGCAGCGAGGAUCUGAUACUGUUCUGGGAAACACUGCUAAUGAGAGGGAGGUAUUCUUGACAAAUGAGUGCAUAAACUUGGCACUGAAGGAUGUGAAACAGACGGUUGUUGUGGGUAUCAAGUCAAUGCUGUGGGGGCAUAAACAUCGGAAGGAAAAUGCUGAUGCUGAGAGAAUUGAUAGAGCAAAUGCAGAAGAGAGGAAGAAGAAAGGAUUGCCGACUGAAUACUACUGUAAAAGCUUGUAUUUCCCGGAGAAAGGUGCUUUCCUUAGUCUUUCUCGUGAUACUAUUGGUCUGGGGUCUGGUUUUUGCUUCUCUUGCAAAGCUAAUGAAGAAGAAAAGGCCAAAGAAGUCUUUGAAGUGAAUUCAUCAAAGACUGGUUUUAUAUACAGUGGAGUUGAGUACUCAGUUCAUGAUUAUGUCUACGUAAGCCCCUAUCAUUUCUCUGUGCAAACAAUUGAAACUGAACUUUUCAAGGCUGGACGGAACCUGGGGUUGAAACCUUUUGUUGUGUGCCAAGUGCUGGGGAUAAUUACAAAGGGAUCUAAACAAUCUGAAAUGAAGUCUACCCAGGUUAGACACCAUUUUAUCAGUUACUGUUUUAUGCAAUGUUUUUCCUUUAUUUAUAUACAGUUUCUUACAUAAUAUUUUCAUGGUUUAACCCAGGUUAAAGUUCGAAGGUUUUUCAGACCAGAGGACAUUUCGGUUGAGAAAGCGUACUGCUCAGAUGUCAGAGAAGUCUACUACAGUGAAGAACUACACAUUUUGCCUGUAGAUAGCAUAGAAGGGAAAUGUGAAGUCAGAAGGAGGAGUGAUCUUCCAGAAUGUAAUGCUCCUGCAUUGUUUCAGCAUAUAUUCUUCUGUGAGCAUUUAUAUGAUCCUUCCAACGGGUCUCUUAAGCAGUUGCCGGCUAACAUCAGGGUAAAGUACUCAACAGUAGGUGGUGAUACUGAAUCGAGAAAGAGAAAGGGCAAGUGUAAAGAGGGAGAAGAUGUUCCUGAAGCUGAGCAACAGAGAGAUGAUUCUGAACACAAACGCCUAGCCACUUUGGAUAUAUUUGCGGGAUGUGGUGGCUUAUCGGAGGGGUUGCAUCAGGCUGGUGUGUCAAUAACCAAGUGGGCAAUCGAGUAUGAAGAACCGGCUGGACAGGCUUUCCAACUCAACCAUCCCGAGUCCAAGGUAUUCAUCAACAAUUGUAACGUCAUCUUGAAGGCCGUCAUGGAUAAGUGUGGAGAUACGGAUGAUUGCAUUUCCACUACUGAUGCCAAUGAUUUAGCAUCAGCACUAGAUGAAAAGGAGAAGAGCGAUUUGCCCUUGCCAGGACAGGUGGACUUUAUAAAUGGAGGCCCUCCAUGCCAGGGUUUUUCUGGUAUGAACAGAUUUAACACCAGUACUUGGAGUAAAGUCCAGUGUGAAAUGAUACUGGCCUUCUUAUCCUUUGCUGAUUACUUCCGGCCAAAAUACUUCCUCCUGGAGAAUGUGAGAAACUUUGUGGCUUUCAAUAAAGGACAGACAUUCCGUCUGACUUUGGCUUCACUUCUGGAGAUGGGUUAUCAGGUGAGGUUUGGUAUUCUGGAAGCCGGUGCUUAUGGGGUUUCCCAGUCCCGAAAGCGAGCAUUUAUUUGGGCAGCUGCACCAGAUGAGAUUCUUCCCGAAUGGCCAGAGCCAAUGCAUGUUUUUGGCGUGCCAGAGUUGAAGAUCAACUUGUCCAGUAAUUCAUAUUAUGCUGCUGUUCGGAGUACUGCAAGCGGUGCCCCUUUCCGCCCCAUAACAGUAAGAGACACAAUUGGCGAUCUCCCAGCUGUAGGGAAUGGAGCAUCCAAGGUCAAUAUGGAGUAUGAAAGCGACCCUGUCUCAUGGUUCCAGAAGAAAAUCAGAGGGAACAUGGCUGUUUUGACUGAUCACAUUUCAAAAGAAAUGAACGAGCUGAACCUCAUUCGGUGCAAGAGGAUCCCCAAGAGGCCUGGUGCAGACUGGAAGGACCUUCCAGAGGAAAAAGUGAAGCUCUCUACUGGUCAGCUAGUCGACUUGAUACCAUGGUGCCUGCCCAACACCGCCAAACGCCACAAUCAGUGGAAGGGCCUGUUCGGAAGGUUGGACUGGGAAGGCAACUUCCCAACCUCCAUUACUGAUCCUCAGCCGAUGGGCAAGGUGGGAAUGUGCUUCCAUCCCGACCAGGACAGGAUUAUUACCGUUCGAGAAUGUGCUCGUUCUCAAGGCUUCCCUGAUAGCUACCAGUUUUAUGGUAACACCCUCCACAAGCACAGGCAGAUUGGAAAUGCUGUCCCUCCAACUCUGGCCUACGCUCUCGGCCGAAAACUCAAGGAAGCAGUCAACAGCAAGAAGAGGUCUUCUUCACAAGAGUAGCUGCAGAGGUUUCAUGUUAAAGCAAAAUCCCUAUUCUCUUUUAUUGUGUUGUAUUUGUUUGUAGACUUCAUUUCAAAUAUCCAUGAUUAUACACAGAAGUGUUACUCACAUUUUCAAAACUCUUUUUCUUCUUCUUUCUUUUUCAUAUUUGACGUCAUGCGGUCAAUUUCGUCAUUUGAGUGAAAGCAAAGUCAACAUGUGGGUCAACUAUUUUCCUUCUGAGCAAUGUUAUGGUACUCACCUAACCACGCUCCACGUGUCCCCACCUGGGGAUCCGGACGGUGAUUGUCCGUUUUGAAACUACUAAACUUGUCUCCUUGCUCCAACUUAAAAACUGAAAUCAACGGCUUUUUCUUUCACAUUUUCUCUCACUCUUUCACUCACUCACUCUCUCUUCCCUCGUCGGUUAUCUCAAAGCACAAAUCUUGGCCUCUUCUUCUUCUUCCUCAAGAUUUCCAGUCUCCUAUUCCGAAUCCGGGUUCUCUCUGAUCAGCCAUGUUUGUUAGGAAGCUUGUGGAGAAGGCUUCCAAGAAGGUAAGUCGCUCAUAUUCUUCUCUGUUUUGGUCUCUGUUUCUGCAAAAACUGCAGAAUCCAUCUUUCAAAGAAAAGAUCAAUGGGGUUGUUUUUCGAUUAUAAAUUUCAUCGAUUUGAUCAGAUUCUGCAACAUCUUUUGUCUAAAAAAGCUAAUAAUAUUGAACUAAAUCGGUGAUUAAGAUAAUAGCAUGUCAGGGGAUGCACGUUACUUCCUAAUUUUUACAAUCAUUUUGAUUCCAAUUUCAUGAAGACUUUACCAAAAUUGGAGAAGAGAGCUUUAGCAUCUGUAUUGUCUGUAUUUUGUUUGUGUACGUAUUUGCUUUAUGAGAUCAGUUGGGUGGUGUAGUGGUUUGUAUGAUUGGAUCGAAUGGGUUGGAAUAGUAGACCAAACUAAUUAGAGUUGCCAGAUGCCAUAUUUUCAGAAAUGGGAUCAAAUUAAAUAGUCCUUUUUCAUGAUGAACACGCAAUUCUGCGCCCAUUGGAUUAGGUGUAUACGUUUGCAUUUUCCAGAAAAGGACAGCAAAUAAUCCUAUAGGUGUAUUUGGUAGAUGAGAAUGUUACUAAUUUUGUAUAAUAUAGAAGAGAAAUUCGUUACCCAAUACAUUUACUAUGAUAUAAAUAUUGAAUCCGGAGUCAAGAUUGAUGAAAGAACGGCUAUAGUAUGCUUUUAUACGAUUGCCUAAACUAAUUUGUUACUAUCGAAAACUCUAUUAUACAUCCGUUUACAGUAGUGUUCACCUGGUCAGUAAUUGAUUAAGAGAUUCAUAGUCAGUCACCGUUGGAUGUAAAUCUAAGAGUGGAGAGAUUUAUUUUUAAGUUGAGUUGUUUUAUUUUUAACCCUUAGAUGUAAAUCUAACGGUGCUGAUCAUGAAUCUCUUAGUCAAUUACUGAUUAGGUGAACAUUACUGCAUCCGUUUAUGACAUGGUCUAAACUUCAGCUAAUAUAGUAGAAGCAUAUUAGUUCAUAAUAUUUUGGUCUUGACACAAGCUCGAGGGACCUAGUAAACCUCUAAUUUGUUUGAAAUACUAUCAACACAAACGUAGGUAUCAAGUCUCACCUUUGAUUAACCCUCUUUAAACUUUAUUAAAGGCCUUUAAAAACACAUCAUUUCCAUGCAAAUAGCUGCCACGUACAAGCAUUACAGAAAUAAUAGUGAUUACUGAGGCUUAAAGCCAAAGGGGGGUUAAUAAAUUAAGAAAAACAAAAAACCGAAAAUGAAAAACAAGAGCACCACAACUUAUUCUACAAUUUCCAUCUUGUUUUGUACUGGAUCCAUUUUCAAAGAUGAAAUUCCUCUUUUAUUUGUUUAAAAUUUGCUUAGUGAUAUCUGAAUAAUCUGAUGGGAUUUAUGGUCAACGCUCUCGUAGCAAAGAAGCUACUAAUGUUGGUCAGAAAAUCUCCAUGUGCUGGACGGUGGAUUAUUAUGGUUCUUAUCUACAAAGAGAUUUAGCGGGCCCGGCCCAUUUCAAUUUUUAAACAUGAACCCACGUACGUGUCAUGUGUUUCGUUUUCCAGGGCCCACUAGGAGGUUAUUGUAAGAUUGUUACACCUGUCCAUUGGUCAACCAACUGAUAAAAGUCAACCGGAAAUAUUUGCUGUGUAGUUUUUCUUUGAACAAUAACUUCUGCUGUGUCUUGAGAGGGUUGUGCACAACUCAGCCAGAUACUGAAAAGAAAAAACCAGAAAAUAUUCAGAAUUUUGUUUAUGAUUAAUUAAUUACAAAUGCAGCUAAGGUCUAGAAUGUUACACUCAUUGUUUGUUUAUCCUUAUUGUAGCCUGGAGGAAGUUCUGAUGGUCUGAAAGGUGGUGAUAUAGACCCGCGAGUAGUAUUCCACAAUGGAGUACCAUCAGGAUCUAACACACUGGCUUAUGACUCCAUCCAAAAAAUACUUGCAGUUUCAACCAAGUGAGUUCAUUUCCUGCAAAUUCAAAUUGAACUGAUGUUAGUGUUCUUCGUCUUGUAUGAUAUAUAUAUGAUGGUGAUCUUAUCAUUCUCAGGGAUGGCCGGAUUAAGUUAUUAGGUAGAGAUAAUACUCAAGCGCUACUUGAGUCUGUCAAUGCAUUACCAAGCAAGUUCCUACAGGUUCUGUAUGAUAUUAUCUGUUGUUUUCUACAAUUCCCUGCCUUUGUUUUGUGUGGUCAUACUGUCAAUCUAACAGAAUAUUGUUCCUGAUUGAUUUUUUACAGUUCGUGGAGAACCAAGGCAUACUUCUAAAUGUAAAUGCCAAGAACCACAUUGAGGUAAGUUCCACAUCCUUAUUUUUUCCAAUAUUGGACUUCUUCAAGAUUUAGUGAUGGACUGCCUGGAUAUGUUUAUGUACUUAGGUUUGGGACUUGGAAAACAACCAGUUGGCUCAUGUACAUGCUUUUCACGAAAAUAUUACGUCCUUCGCGCUCAUGCAACAGAGUCUCUGCAUGUAAGUGUGUGUAAGCUUCAAAUUGUCGAUUAACUAGAGAUAUGUGGUUCAUUAACUUCAAGUAACUAUGUAACUGUUUUGGCAGGUAUGUUGGAGAUUCUGUUGGGAAUGUUUCAGUUUUGAAGCUUGAGCAAGAAUCAUGUCAUAUAUUACAAAUGAAAUACACUAUACCUUAUUCAGCUUCUCAUGGUCAGAUGCAUUCCUAUACAAUUUUACGCUAAGAUUAGAUAGAUGAUGUCCUCUUCUUAUCCUGUUCCUGGCAGUUCUAAUUAACUUGAUCAAUCUUCUCAUCAGGGAAUCCAACUGAAGUUACAGGCGACACUGCUGUGAUGUGCAUAAUGCCUCAGCCAACAUGUGAAAGUAGAAGGUAGUAUCUCUAAAACUUGUCGGCCUAUUUCAUGAUUGGCAUCACAAGAUUUUGAUGUUACUUAGUUCUCCUGUUGGAAUGCAGGGUUCUUGUAGUAUUUUUAGACGGUCUAAUAGCGUUAUGGGACAUUAGAGAAAGUAAAUCCAUAUUCACAGCUGGUGUAAAUACAUUGCAAUCACUCCAGCAUGAAACAAGGAAAGUCACUUCUGCAUGCUGGGCAUGUCCUUCUGGGACUAAAGUUGUUGUUGGGUACAACAAUGGAGAGAUUUUCAUCUGGAGCAUUCCUAUGAACCAAAAUCCAUCAGAAUGCAGCACGCAAAGCAGUCCAAUAUGUAAACUCAAUCUUGGAUAUAAGUUGGACAAAAUUCCUAUAGCAUCACUGAGAUGGGUUUAUGCAGAAGGGAAGGCAAGUCGAAUAUAUGUUAUGGGAGCGUCUGACAUCGUUUCGUCAAACUUGUUGCAGGUACUUCAACAUUACCACUAUGAAAUGUGUCACUGCUAUAACUGAAUGAAACUUUGAAAUUUUGAUUUUGAUGAGGCAGGUAAUCCUGUUGAACGAGCAUACUGAAGGCCGCACUAUUAGAUUAGGACUUCAGCUGCCUGAGCCUUGUAUCGAUAUGGAGAUUAUUUCUUCAACCUUUAGUGAGCAAAGCAAACAUAAACAAGAUUGUUUUCUUGUGCUUGGUAGUUCAGGACAUCUUUAUGCCUAUGAUGAUUGCUCGAUUGAAAAGUAUCUUCUACAAAGCCAAUCUAAGUCACCACCCUCGUUGCCGAAGGAAGUCAUGGUGAAGAUGCCAUUUGUUGAUACCAGCAUUACUGUAUCAAAACUAAUCACAGAUGAUACCAACAUGUCAACUUCUACAGACGAGGUAAUAUGUAUACCAAGUUACUUCUUUCUUUUAACAGUUCAUUACUAGUAUUUUAAGAAAAUGAUGUGAUAGUUUGAUUCCUAUGAUUCUUUUAUAGGAAUACCUUCUCCUGGCCAAAAGCAUUCCAUCUCUCCUUUCUUUUGAGGCAAAACCAAAAGAUGGAAGUCACUUGAAUGCAGCCCGCUUUAGUGGCUUUUCGAAAGUUAAAAAUCUGUACAUAACUGGACAUAGUGACGGAAGCAUAAAUUUUUGGGAUUUGUCGUCCCCACUUUUAGUUCCCAUUUUAUCAUUGAAGCAGCAGGUACUUUUCUUGCCAUUUAUGUAGCAUUUGUCAUUUUUGAACUGCUAGUAACUCUUUUUACAAUGGCUCAAUGUGCAACUAAGAACGAUUAUUCUUACAUUAUCCUCCUUUUGAAAACAAUAUGCAGAGUGAAGAAGAUCUAUCUUUAAGUGGUAUAGCACUCACAGCUUUGUUUUUUGAUGGGAACUCUCGACUUCUUGUUUCUGGAGAUCAGAGUGGAACGGUGAAGUACCAUCUUUGUUCUGUUUAUUGAUUAUUAUCAUUUCAUUGCAUUCAGGAGAAUUAGUGUUUCUAAUAUAUAUGUGAACUACAGGUUCGGAUCUUUAGAUUUAAACCUGAACCGUAUGUGAUAUCCAGCAGUUUCUUGUCUCUUCAAGGUAUGAUAAAAUUGAUUUAUCUACAAGGCCAUUGCCUUCAAACUUGAAUUGUUCUUUCUUUACUUCAGAGAGUGCAUUACAAGUGGUCUUAUGAUUUCAUAUACUCUUUGCCAGGAAGUACAAAGAAAGGAAACGAUCAUAUUGUUCAAAGUGUUAGAUUAAUGAAGGUUAAUGGUUCUGUACUUUCUCUGAACGUAAACCACAGCUCAGGACAUCUUGCUGUGGGUUCUAGUAAAGGAAACGUAAGCUUACACUGUGAUCUUUGAUUCUUUUCUCUUUCUCAACUCUUCUCAUUUUCUCCUUUAUUGAUUGUGAAUUUCUUCUCCUCUUUCAUCACAGGUUUCAGUUAUUAAUAUAGAAGGGCCCACUUUAUUAUAUCAAAGCCACAUUGCGAGUGAAAUUUCUACAGGCAUCAUCUCUCUGCAGUUCGAAACCUGCAGUUUUCAUGGUUUCGACAAGAAUGUCUUAGCUGUUGCAACAGAGGACUCAUCUGUUUUGGCUCUUGAUAGUGAUAAUGGAAACACAUUGAGCACUAGUCUGGUUCAUCCCAAGAAACCCACUAGAGCACUUUUUAUGCAGAUCUUGGGUAAGUUUUUCUGAGAAUGGAAUCUUGUCAUUUUGACAACAUCAAAUAAUCUCAGACAUUUAAUCUUAAAUGUAUUAAAUGAUUUAGACACCAGGAAAGGCAGUAGUGUUGAGAAUGCCAUGCAAAAGCAGUCUUCGCUAUUGCUAUGUUCUGAAAAAGCGGCAUACAUAUAUUCUUUCACACAUGUUAUGCAGGUGAUUAGUACUUCAUCUUAUGUAGGCAGUACAAAUUGUUGAAAUACUUUAUCUGAUUAUGAACUCUUAUUUUUCUUUCUUUCAACUCAGGGUGUUAAGAAGGUAAUACACAAGAAGAAAUUCCAAUCCUCUUGUUGCUGGGCAUCAACAUUCUACACCUCCUCUUAUGUUGGCCUUAUACUUGUUUUUACUACUGGAAAAAUUGAGAUAAGGUGGUGACAUGUCAUAGUCUUUUAUGUUCUUUUUCUUUAUUUGAAUAUAUUCGUAAGUAAAUUUCAUAGCCUAAAAAUCUGUUUAUGAAAUGUUAGGUCCUUGCAUGACUUGUCUUUGACAACGGAGACUGCAGUAAGGGGAUUCAUGUAUACCACAUCAAAACCAAAUUCACAUGCUGGCAAUUCGAUAUGCUCUUCAUCUGAGGGAGAUCUUGUUAUGGUUUGAUACUGGAAUCCGAUCUGUUAUAUCAGUUGCUUGUGGAUGAUUUUAGAGAAAUUUUAAUCAAUAUUUUCAUCCUUGCACAGGUGAACAGUGAUCAGGAAAUCUUUCUCUUCUCUCUUUCACUCCAGAAGCAAAGCUUUAGGUAAAUGUAUUUUUGAAAACUAUAAUGAUAUGAUUGACUAGUUCCUAUCUUAAUUUGUCAAGUACUUCUGGGCCAUAGUUUUCUUACUUCACAGCGUCUUUCCUCAUUCAAGGCUUUUAGACUCUUUCAACUUGACGUACCAGAAAGAUCUGAUGGUUUCACAAGAAGAGCUUACAUCAGGACGCGUCAUUCAAAAGGAAAAGAAAAAGGUAUUAUGCAUGUUCAUGAUGAUCACAUUAUAUUCAUCUACAACCUAUUUGCUAGGGAAUGAAAAACUGCACUAGUAUCUAAAUUUAUUUUCUUAGCAGGGUAUGUUUAGUUCUGUUCUUAAAGAUAUUGUGGGAAGUAAAGGGAAGAAUGUCCCUGAGAUGGAACAUGAAGAUACUAAAGAAAGUAUUGAAGAACUUUCAACAAUCUUUUCGACUGCUAAUUUCCAAUUUGAUGCGGAGCACACAGACAACCAGGCCAUGAUUGAAGACGAUGAUCAGUUAGACAUAGGUAUUCUAACUUACAAGUGUUUAUCAUUUCAAUGUGAACGGAGUUCUAAGAUGAUCCAAGUUUACAAAGAACCAACUCUUUUGUCUUUUUUUUUGAAGAUGAUAUCGAGAUUGACAUUCCUGGAGAGAAACCGAAAGAGCAGAAUAUGUUGGGAGCACUUAAUAAGGAAAAAUUGGCAAGCAAGUUUAUGGCCUUUAAAGGUCAGUUCAAACCAUCUAUAUCAAUAUGGAGUCAUCAGUUGGAUGGCUUGAAAGUGUCUUACUUAACUUUUUUCCAAUCACAGGUAAAGUAAUGAAACAAAUGAAGACUAAGAGUGAGAAGAACCCCCCAAAGGAAGAACCACAGGAUGAGAAGGUUGGCUCUGUUGAUGAAAUCAAGAGGAGAUACGGAUUUUCGUCUGCUGUAAGAACAAUAUACAUACACAUAUCUUUAUGAAUUGCACAUCCUCUUACUACUUAGAUUAGCCAAGGAAGAAUAUUCGAAUGUUUUAUUAACCGCAUCAUUUGUUUUUGGCUGCAGGAAACAAAUGUAGCUAAAAUAGCACAAAGUAAGCUCCAGGAGAAUAUAAGUAAGUUACAGGGGAUAAAUCUGAGAACUACAGAGAUGCAAGACACAGCUAAAUCAUUUUCAUCCUUGGCAAACCAAGUGUUACGAACUGAACAGGACAGACGAGCCUCUUAAUCACCACAAAAGUAUCGUUUGGCUUUCAAAUUAUACAAGUCUUAUUGAUUUCAUUUGUUUUUCUGGUAUGAUUCUUUUGCAUAUAGUGAAUGUACAACAUUGGAAAGAAUUGCUCACAGAACUGAUAUAUAUUCAAAUUUUCAGAUCAAAAUGGUUUAUACAAUGUUCUUGUUUUUCUGGUAUGAUUCUUUUGCAUAUAGUGAAUGUACAACAUUGGAAAGAAUUGCUCACAGAACUGAUAUAUAUUCAAAUUUUUAGAUCAAAAUGGUUUAUACAAUGUUCUUAUUUUUCACCAAAGGUUUUCAACUGUCGAUUAAUAAUUUAAACUUAAUUCAAGUUAAAGGAACUCAAAAAUCAUAAUACAAAUCUUUUUUAUGAUUUCUUAAAGCAAGAACAAUAAACUCUGAAUAAAAAAAAUGAUCAUGGAACUGUACAUCCUCAAAAUAUACUAGCCAGUACAAAAACCCAGAAUAGCCAUCCUUCCCACACUUGAAACCAGACAGAGAUUAAAUAACAAUGAACUAUCUAUAAGAAGACAUCAGUACCAAACUACUAACUACAUGUAUAUCAAUAAUUUAAAUUAUGAAUUGCAAGCUCAAGAGCAGCAGUGUCUAAUCAUUCAGUUACUAGCUAGAUCAAUGGGGGUGAACGGAAGAUGUUAGUGCCGGCUUCCAGUGGCGAAGCGGUCCCAACAUCCAAGUGAAACACACCAAUUUUACUAAAGAUAGUCUUACCACGCCAAACUUCAUAAGAAAAUAAAACACAAUUUCCUUGGCAUCCUGGGAAGUCUCUACUGGAGACUGAGAAGCAGCAAUCUUCCCCCACAACCAACAUUCGAUCAUCCAAAUCUGAACCCUCCAUCUCAAUCCAUUGCUUCCAAUUUCCAUCCAACUUGUAAACCUUGAACUUGACUUCCUUCGUGAGCAUGUCCUCCUCUGAAUGACCUUUCGCAACAAAAGUAGACCCAUGCCUUUCGACUAAAAGAAGCUCCCGGAGCGAUUCAACCAAGUACUUCUUCUUCUUCUUAUCCCACAUUGAAAUAGGUACUGGAAACGCAAUCACUUCCCACUUAAAGGAAGAAUCCAUCGCUGCAGCUUUCCCAGACUGAGACACUACACAGAACUUCCCUUUAUAGAAAAUAACAUCAUCAUAUUUAUCAGAAUUACUCAUUUUUCCACAUGAUGGAUCAUUACCAUCAUCCUCAUCAGGAUUUACCCGAGUGAGUUGGACGCAACGUUGUUUAACUUUAACACCACGAUAAGACCACUUUCCGAGGUAUAAAACUCCAUCCCUAACCAACAUGACUGCAGGGAAGAACUCGACGUAUAAGGAAACAGCUAGCUUGAGAUAGUUCUUAUCUUGGUUACUUGCUAAGAGAUAGGGUCUUGCCACUUCACGUACGCCAAAGUCUAGUGAGUUAAUCAUCACCCUUGGGUUUUCCAAACCUCCAUCACGCCAUGAUAAUAGAGGAAGUAACUUUUGGUUUGUAUCCAAUCGCAUUAACCAGCCUUGUUUCCUUUCAUCAUUGUGAUGAGGAGGAGGAUAAGGUGCAAUAUGAUAGACUAUGCUACGCUGGAUGGUGUAAAGAGACUCUGUAGGUAGAUGUAUUCCAAAUCUGGAGGGCAAUAGAGGAUGAUCUUGAGGUGGUGGCUUGAGUGGAUUGAAUGAAGGAAUAAAAGAUCUCCAUGAUUUAGAGACGGCACGGAACUGAGCAACAUGCAUUCGGGUUUUAGGGUCAAGGUACUCUCUAAUCAUCUCUAUCAAUUCGUCUGGGAGACCUCUAUCCGCCAUUGCUCGUGACCAAGAUUGAUGCCUAGGGUUUCGGUAUGAAGGAGGUUUAUACCUAAUGUUAAUUUGCCACUAUAUAUGAAGUUUUCUAUUUACGAUUUGCUACCUUAGGUUAUUUGCUAAAUCUAGGGUUUUAAAAUUAACCAAUUAAAUUUCGUAAAGUUUCAAAAUUAUCUAUUUGGUAACUUAGAUUCUCAAAAUUAACCCAUGAUCGAAUGGACUCAAUGUAGAGUUUAAUGUCUUGCGCAACAAGUAACAUUGCACAGGGAAGGCAUGUGAAUAAAGAACCAAAUUUGCACCAUGUUCAUACAGCAUACGAAUAAAUAGGAACCGAAACUGCAAUUGAUGCAUUAAGCUCAAGUUCUAUGUAACCAUGUCAAACAACGAAUAAUAUACGAGAUUCAACUGAUCGAUACACGAAUAACCAUAACAGAACAUGGAAUUUUUAAGCAACUUGAUGGAAAGCCUUUAAUGUGACGUUCUCAAUCAACUAAACUAACUCUCAGAAAGAGAUUAGCACUCUCUGGAUCCCUCAAUGUCCUUCAACCCCUUCUACCAUAUAAUUUGAACACUCCGAUUUGAUACUCGGACACUAUUUGCUGUUCCACUCGCAAGGAAGACAAAAGACACUCCCUCGGCAUCCUGGGAAGUCUUGAUUGAAUCGACUUGAUCAUUCGAAUCUGAAGCAUACAUCUCAACUCAUUCCUUCCUAGUUUCAUCCAACGUGUAAAGUGUAAACCUUAAAUUUAGCUUCAGCAUUGAGCAUAUCCCCCAGAUCAUACCCCUCUCUCUUCAGUAUCUACCUUAAAGCAGCUCCCUGGAUGCUUCGACCAAAUUCUUCUUGUCCUCCACAUUCAGCAGCACGCAAAAUGGAUACCAUUUAUUCAUCUAACUAUGCAACUAUAACUAUAACUAUAACUAUAAGCUUUGUGUAUAGUUGGGAUGAUAAAAAUAACUGCAACUAUAACUAUUCAUCUAACGAAGUGAUAUAUAUUUUUUCAAGUUUUCAGAUCAAAAUGAAAGUAAAAACAAUAAAUUCUGAAAAAGAAAAAUUGAUCAUGGAACUGUAAAUCUAAAUCCUCAAAUUUACUAGCCAGUACUAAUUAAGCCAGGACACCCUGAAUAGCCACCCUUCCCACACUUAACCCAGCAAGAAUUAUACAACAAUGAAUUAUAAGAAGACAUCAGUACCAAACUACAAAUUACAAACUACAUACAUAUCAAUUAUUUAGAAUAGGAUUAAUUUCAGUCUACACCCCUGAGGUUUAGAGUUAAUAUCAUUUCACUCCCCAUAUUUUUAAUUUUGCAAAUUUACCCCUUAAAGUUUUCAAAUUUCAUAAAUCAUGCCAAAUUGCUGAAAUUUUGUUUAAUUUGGAUGUUAAUUUUGACUUCAUAACUCACUAAAAGAGCCAAAAUAGUCUUAUAACAACAUAAAUCGCCUAUUAUGAUUUUUUUUUUUUUAAGAUUUCAUGUUAUCAUUUAACCUCUAAAUUGGACGGAAUUUUAACAAUUGUGUCUGAAUUAUAAAAAUUUGAGACUUUAAGGGGUAAAUUUUAAAAAUUAAAAAUUAAAAAUAUGGGGAAUGAAACGAUGUUAAUCCAAAGGGGUAAACUGAAAUUAAUCUUUUAGAAUAUCAACCUCAAGAGUAGCAUUGUCUAAUCAUUCAGUUGCUAGCUCUAUGGGGGUGGCAGAAAGAUUUUAGCGCCGGCUUCCAGUGGUGACGCACUCCCAUCAUCCAAGUGAAACACACCAAUUUUACUAAAGAUAGUCUUAGCACGCCAAACUUCAUAAGAAAAAUAAACAAAAUUUCCUUGGCAUCCUGGGAAGUCUCUACUGGAGACUGAGAAGCAGCAAUCUUCCCCCACACACAAUAUUCGACCAUCCAAAUCCGAACCCUCCAUCUCAACCCAUUGCUUCCUAUAUGCAUCCAACUUGUAAACCUUGAACUUGAUUUCCUUCCUGAGCAUGUCCUCCUCUGAACAACAACUUGCAACAUAAGUAGACCCAUGUCUUUCAACUAAAAGCAGCUCCCCGAGCGAUUCAACCAAGAACUUCUUCUUCCACAACAUUGAAGUAGAUACUGGAGAAGCAAUCACUUCCCACUUAAAAGAAGAAUCCAUCGCUGCAGCUUUCCCAGACUUAGACACUACACAGAAUUUCCCCCGAUAGAAAAUAACAUCAUCAUACUUUUCCGCAUUCCUUAUAUUUCUACAUGAGGGAUUAUCAUCAGGAUUUACCCGAGUGAGUUCGAUGGAACCUUGACAAGACAACUUUCCAAGGAAUAUAGCUCCACACGUAACCAACAUGACUGCAGGGAAGAACUCGAAAUAUAAGGAAACAGCUAGCUUGUGAUACUUGUCGUUGUCGUACAUACUUACUAAGAGAUAGGGUUUAGCCACUUCUAGUACGCCAAAGUCUACUGAGUUCAUCAUCACCCUUUUUGGCUUUUCCAAACCACUAUCACGCCAUGAUAAUGGAGGAAGUAACUUUUGGUUUGUAUCCAUUCGCAUCAACCAGCCUCGUUUCCUUUCAUCUUUGUGAUGAGGAGGAGGAUAAGGUGCAAUAUGAUAGAUUAUGCUACGCUGGAUGGUGUAAGGAAAAUCAGAUAGGGGGAAGAAUAUGGCAAAUGUGGAGGGCAAUAGAUCUAGAGGGUGAUCUUGAGGUGGUGGCUCGAGUGGAUUGAAUGAAGGAAUAGAAGAUCGCCAUGAUUGAGAGACGGCACGGAACUGAGCAACAUGCAUUCGGGUUUUAAGGUCAAGGUGCUCUCUGAUCCUCUCAAUCAACUCGUCUGGGAGAUCUCUAUCCGCCAUUCCUGGUGGCCUUGGUGAAGAUUGAUGCCUAGGGUUUCGGUAUGAAGGAGGACAUACAAAAUUAGGUAUAAACCUGUUGUAUACAUUAGGUUUAUAAACCUAAAUGUUAAUUUGCCACUAUGAGGUUUUGUUUUUUACGAUUUACUAAGAGGUUAUUGCUAAUCUAUUUGGACUCAAUGGAGAGUUUAACUACAAGUCUUGCGCACCAAGUAACAUUGCACAGGGAAGGCAUGUGAAUAAAGAACCAAAUUCGCACCAUGUUCAUACAGCAUACGAAAAAAGAGGGACCAAAACUGUAACUGAUGCGUUAAACUCAAGUUAUAUGUACUUAACCAUGUCAAACAACGAAUAAUUCAUGUCGAAAGCAACUCGAAAGCCUUCAAGGUGAUGUUCUCAACCAACUAAACUAAUUCUCCUGACGAUCUUCAAUGCCCUUCUGCCAUCUAACUAGAACACUGAUUUCAAUAGAGAUACUCGAACACUAUUUUCCGUCACACUCGCGAGGAAGAACAAAAGACCUCGGCAUUCUUGAGUGAAAGCAUACAUCUCAACUCAUCCCUUCCUAGUCUCAUCCCAACUUGUAAACCUUAUCUCCCACAGAUCAUACCCUCUCUCUCACAGCUAAAAGCAGCUUCCAGGAUGAUUUGACCACAUUCAGCAGCACACAUAUUUGAUACCAUUUAUUCAUCUAACUAAGCGAGAUUCUGCCCAGUGUGUAUAGUUGGGAUGAUAGAAAUAACUGCAACUAUUGUUCCCAUGCUCAAUUCCCGGGAAAUCUUGAGCAGAAGGAAAGAUGCAGCCUGCAUCCGAAUCUAUUAUCAAUAUUCGACCAUCGAAACCGUCCUCCAUCUCAACCCAGCACUUCUCAAGUACAUUCAACUUGAAAACUAUGUAGUUAAGGUGAAUCUGUUUAAUAACCAAAAAAAUUUCUCCAGCUGAUUCCACCAAAUACUUCCUGUGACCUGACAUCCGAGUCUUCACAAGUAUAUCCAUCACCUGCAAAGAACACGAAUCCAGCACUAGUAUGGUCGCAUCCCUGGAAACAGCAUAAAAUUUUUCCUCAUAGUAAAUAACAUCUUCCAGCCGGAUGAAUUCUGAUAGACCUUCCACUGGUUUUAACAUUGGAAUGGGAUCAUCACCUAUGUUACAGUAGUAUAAGACUCCAUUGACAAUGACCAUAAGUACAGGACAACUAGGAUUGAAGGACACAGCCACUCUAUAAUCACGACCAGUCUCACUGAUAUCUUUUAGACUAUAAGCUUCUGCCAAUUCGACUACCCGAACAUCUUCAUCCAACAAGUUCAAUGCCUCUGGGAAUGUCUCAGGGAACUGCUCACACGAGAACGGGCAUCGAAACAGUGGAUCUAGCCUACGAACAAUUUCAUCUGAUUCAUUUAGUUUGACAGUAACAAUCCAAGUACCUGAACUGUGGGUAACAUGAUAGAUGACCCCCUUGGUGAGGGUCAUAAUCUUAGGCCAGUUUCCAUUACUAUCAGAAUGCUUGGGGAGUUGUAUUGGACCUCUGAUGGGAGAAAGGAGCUGCUGCCUACUUUUUGUAAAGGGAGAAACAGAGGAACGCCAUGACUGACAAACAGCACGGAAUCGAGAAACAUCGUUGGUGAAGUUGAGGCACUUUCCAACUAUCUCUAACAAUUCAACUGAAAGAUCACUAGCCAUUGAAUAUCUUCUUUUUCUUUUCUUUUUUCUGGGGAUUGAAUCAAAGGAGAAGGUUUACUGUGAUCGAUAGUCUUGGUGAAACACAGUGGGACUCAGCUUUCUAAUGAAGCUUAUAUAUUCCUAUAAGGAAAAGUAUACAUUAAAAGGGCGACUGUUAAUGUAUCUUAAUCAUUAAGGAAUAUUCACAAUCUAAGCCAACUGUCCAAUCAAUCUUAAUCAAUGAAUGGAUGUGUAUUUAUCCAUAUAUAUGAACGUAUAAGGAAAAGUAUACAUUAUCACUCCCUCACCCUACUAUCUGAUGAGCUGCUCUGAUUUCUUAUUUAGGAAUGAUACUCUCGUUUUCCUUUUUCUUAUUAAGACAUGAUUUCUUUCCAAAUUCACAUUGUCCCAACUCCACUAAGUUGAAUUCCGCAUUUGGAAGUAAUGUAUGGUUCACUGUACCCAAAUGAUCAUAAACAUUUUUUACCAAUACGAGUAAGAUCUUCGGAUAUCAUGCCUAUGACUUGAAUCUAAGAUCCAAGAAACAUAACAAAUGAAAAUACAGUUGAAACUCAGUAACAGAAAAGCACUAUCGAGUACAAAAAUGCUUGCUUCAAGCCUACUAAAUGCAUUUAGCAUCCAUCAAGUGUAACCAACAAAACAAAAAGACUUUAAGACCUGAUACUAGAGGUGGAAACAACAAGGACCAGUCCAACAACUAUUAUUUUCUCAGUAAGUCUACCAAUUGGGAGUAUAUCAGUUCUUUAGUGGCAUCUCGGUUACUUUGGCUCAGUGUAAAAAUUGUUGCACCCGGAUGAUUCUUUAACCUUGCAACUGCACAAGUUCAGACACUCUACUCAUAUUCAUAUACAAAUACACCAAAACAGAUAGCUCUUUUCCCCUACAUUACUACUUCAAACAGAAACAACUACAGUCAAGAAACAUUUUAGAAAAUCAUCAAAACUGAAACAAAUGUGCAAUGUAUAUAUAAAACAUUGCACAAGGAUUCGCCUUUCUAUAAUGCAUUUCCCCUUUCAAUUACCCCACAAGAAAAUCAAGGAUUUGCAUACCCUAUAAUGUAAAGCACUAAAGCGCAUGAGUUGAGGGAAAAGUACCUGCAGGUAUAUCACGGCCAACUUUUGGAACUGGAACUGACGCCAAGACCGGAAUAUUGGAUUCCAGCACUCUUAAGACGGAAGGGAAGAAAGAUGAACUGAACAACUCCAUCUUACCAACUUCAUCGAUGACAAACAGGUCAGUAUCUUCUCUUACCUGAUAACAAUCAAAUCCUUUAACUUCACUAACAUUCAAAGACAUUCUCACAAGCAAAGACCACUAAAACAACGGCCAUCUAAAGCCGUAAAUAAGAUCAUUUUCAACUAAAUUUUCAACAAUUAGCAGCAUGAAACCAUAUUCCCACCUGCAAUUCAGGAACUGCCAGGGACUCGAACGACGCAACAUCAACUUUGAACUUCCCGACAGUGGGCCAUCUCAGCGAUUCUAAGCUGAAAUAUAUAGCAUUACUGAUGCGUUAAGCUCUAAUUCCAACAUUGUUUAGGACAAUCAAGAAUUGUAAAGUUCGGGAAAGACCUGGAAAUGGUGGAGGAAGCAAGCGGAGCGGUACGGCCGUCUAACGUGACCACCUGGAAGCCAACGCGAUCACCUCCUUGUCUAACCUCACCUACAUUUGAAAUUAAUAAAGACAAAACUGACAUUGUAAACAUCGAACUCCAGAGUUGGGUGAAUAUGAAAGCAGAUCGAGUGAUUGAGAUUGAGAGUGAGAGAGGAUUACUGGUGUAGAAACCCUGAAUCUUUAAGUUGGGGUAUGAUGAUUUUAGGGUUUCAAAGACUUUGACUAUUAGAGUGGUUUUACCCACACCCUGCAUCAGAUUUACUGAUUUAGAAUCUGUAAAUUGAAAGUUUAUACAGAGACAAAAUGGUGGCGAACUUACAGGAGGUCCAGUCACCAGCAAGCAUUUUCCGGCACCUGCCAUUUCUCUACCUCCGUCUCUCUUACAUCGGAUUUAUACAGUUCAGUUGGCUUAUAAGAUCAAGCUCAAACGAUGUCGUUUCGGAUGCUCUACGGGUCAAAGCCCAACUAGACUCAAAGGCCCAAGUUCUGAGCUUCGGUUCUCUAGAACAGAGUUGGGAGGAGUACUUGCUCUAAUGGUGAAGUGUAAAGGUUUUCCCACAAGAUUGGGGUAUCCUAGUAUCCUACAGAUUCAAUAUGAUUUGACAAUACAAUGCGAUGAGGGUGGUUUAUGUCAAUCUUUCCGAAUUCAAACACGAGAAAACGAUGCAAGAGUAGAGAUGGUACAAAAGUAGUACUCCUCUACGAAGAUGAAGAUUGUCCUGCUCGGCUUGUUCUUUCUCAUACCAUCCGCUAGCUCAGGUAAGAAACUCUUAUCAGGAACCGGACAAUGGAUUCAAGAUCAAGGAGAGACCAGAGAUGAGGGAGAGUUGGAAUUGUUUAACCAGUGGGGUUGGCUUUGGAGGGAAGCACAAACAUUUGGUAAAACUCAAAAGAUCACAAAAGCAUAUUGUUAUGUCAUUCCCGCUUGCACCCAAUCAAAACUGAACAAUUCCACAGAAGAAUCCUUAGCAGACCACUUGACAAAAUAGAAUAUGGAAAAAACUAUCAAAUCUCACUGACAGAAUGGGUCAGGAAACAGAUUCCCAACAACAGAGAAGAAUCCCAACCCAAUUGGAAUGGGAAUGGAAGUCAAACGCUACUGAAACUUUCAAGUCAUCACAAGCAUAUCAUUGCGAAUUUGAACCAAACCAGACAGACAACAACCAAAUGCAUAAGAAAAGUGAUGAACCAUUAUAUAAUCAAGCAAGCUGAAUACCAUUAAACAUUAAAAGGAUCAUUAAGUACAGAAAGAUAUGGGAUAUAAGGUAGCAGAAGCCCCUGUUGAUAAUCCCUUGGUUUUUGUUUUUCCUACUCUACUCCUAUUUUCCAUGAGACAAAGCUUAAAUCAGAGACAAUGCAGGUCAUUAACUAAGCAACCCUACACAUAUUGCUUCCUUCUCUCCUCCAUUUGUCAUAUUUCUCUACUCAUCAUCGUCCUCAUCCUGCACAAUGAAUCAAAAUCAAAAUCAGUCAUUAACAGCUUAUCUAGUUAACUACAACCCAGGAAACCCAACUACAUGUUUCAAAACAAAAUACAAACCUCGCCAGCGCUCUCAUCAUCAUCCUCAUCCUCAUCAUUCACCUCUGACUUGGACUUGUCAGACUCCUCUUCCUCAACUCCAUUAUCUCCAUCAGCCUAUUGUACACAAUUAAACAACAAAUGUCAGAGACCCGAAUCAUAAAUUACAUGAAAACCCGAGACUAACAAUUCAAACAGAAACGCGUACUUGUUUCUUGUUGUAAACAUCCAUGUUCUUGUUGUAUUCAACCUUCCUCUUCUCAGCCUUAGCCUGGUAAGGUGCUUUCUCCUGUAUAAUUUUUACCAAAAAGCAACCAUCAAUAAACUAUCCGAGAAUAUUCCACCAAGUAACAAAUUAUUAACAAAAGAUAAGCCCAGAAACUCACAGCAUCAGACAACGAUUUCCAUUUCUCACCACCAGCUUUACCAACCUGUUCAAAUACACCAAUUAAAAUCAUUCAAAAUUUCAGCAUAAAAAAUCAUAGCAAAACGAAUCGAAUUGAAAGAAUUGGAGCAUGUAGAUCUGGUAAAUUAGAUUCACUUACAGCGGCGACCGAUUUGUUGUUGGGAUGCUCCUUCUUGUACUUCUCCCUAAACUCCUCCCUAUUCAAACAAAAAGUCAGCAAAAUUAAUUAUCACCAAACAAACAAACAAACAAAAACGAAAAAUCACAGAUCUAAAAAGUUCAGAGGAGAGAGAAAAAGCGUUGACCGUACAUGAAAACGAAGAAGGCACUGGCAGGCCUCUUUGGCUUGUUCGGAUCCUUCCCAGCCUUCUUCGCCGCCUUGCUCGCCCCUGCGCUUUUCGUCUUUAACCUAAAACCAAAAUCCACAAACAAAAAUCAAAAUCAAAAUCCAAUCCUAACCGAAGCACGAUCCAGAUCUAAUCGCUCAAUUCCGACUAAUUUCACAGCGAAUUAAAGCUGAAACUCACUUGGUAUCGGACCGCUUCGGCGCCGCGGCUCUGGAUUUCCCACCUUUCAUAGCUGAACCUGUCAAAAAAACACACGGAAUCGGUGAGAAUCGUUCAGAAUCGGUGAGAAUCGUUCGGAACCGGACUGAAUUGAGCCGGAAUCGGGUGACUCGGCGGCGAGUUUACCUAGGGUUUUCGAAGAAGAUAAGGGAGAGAAAGAGAGAGGAAAUAUGAUAUAGAGGGCCGGGAGGCUUUGUUUGUUUGGUGCGGUGCGUUUGUGUGUGUGAGAAAUAGAGGCAGAGGAUAAGAAGGGGCCUCUAGAAAAUAUAAGAGGGGCUAAAAUUAAAUUUCGCUACACGAAAAAAUUGAAGUCCGGGUUUAGGCGGGAUUUCAAAACUCUUUUCGCCACGUCAGCGAUCCGCGCGGUUUUGAAAGUCGUGUUGUGAUUGGGUGGGGGGUGUGUUUCCUGGUGUGUUAGUUUGGGAAGGAGGUGGGACACGUGGAGAUGCGGGCGAAUAUGUGCUUGGUGGCACGUGGGGGAAUGGGUGGAAUGACGGAAAUGGGGCUGGGAUUUUUGUUGGGCGGUUUUGGAGGGGUGGUUGUGGGUGAUCAAAGCAUCCAGAAUAAAAUGCGCUGCACGCCACUGCUGGAUGGGAUAUUAUUGAUGAGGGGUAUAUGGGUAAAUUUGUGAGGUUGAUAUUUUUGUCUUUUUGGGUUUGGGCCAAAAUUUGAAUUGGGCUGUUUGAUUGGAGGAGCGGUGUUCAAUUGACCUAGAGUGAAGGAAGAGAUAAUAAUAUGUUUCAUAUUGUAAUGUGACCUUAGGUAAUGGGUGAUAAAGGGUAAUGAGUUCAAUCUUGUGCAACUAUUAGCUACUCCAACGUUUUAUAGGUGCAGAGAUUCAUGUGUGUCGUCAAGUAUAAAUUGAGAUUUAACUUCAAUCAACGUCUGUAGAAUUCGACCUUAAGUAUGAAAGUUCUACAUCUAAAACUUCUACUAACUCGACUACUUGUGAUGGUUAUGUGAAUGUUGAGUUUAUUGUUUUGAGACAUUGGUUUUAUCAAUGGGGAGGAGUUUAUUUGAACUCAUGAUUUCUAUUUUCCCCACUAAAUACUAGUUAACGGUUUUAUGAAAACAUAAGGAUUGAGUUAGAACCUUUUUAGUUAUCGAACUCUCUACUUUUAUUUCUUUCACGAAAUCGCGUGCUACUUUGGUGCAUAACUCAAAUAUGAUAGAUGGUGCAUAACUCAAAAAUGAUAAAUUGUGCAUUGAUUCAAAUUACUUAAUUACUCAUCAUAUACUACAUGGUAUACCAAUUUGAUUGAUGAGUUCAACUUCAACUAAAGUGUCUCUUAUUCCACACUAUAAUUUCAUGUCAUACCAGAUAUUGAAGACCUUGCAAAAAUGCGCUUAUAACAACUUGAAUCUCCCAAAAAAUCACUAUUUUAGUUUGAAUCUACAACCCACGCUAACGCAUUUGCAAGAGACUUAGUAAGACACGCAACAUUGUUUUGGUAACAAAUGUUUAUUCGUUCGAUUAGUGUUCGCGACGUUUUCACUUCAAAUAAAGUACUAUACGUCUAAUCGUACUUGUUAAAAGUUAAUAACUAAGGAUGGUUUUAUCAACACCCUUAGUAUGAGGGUAAGAGCUCAACAUUCAAAUAAUGAGUAUCUAAAUACGAAUUUAGGUUGACACAAACCAAAAAGGAUACAUAUCCAAUUUUGUUCAUCUUGGGUUUGGAUAAUUUACAGGCCCAACUAUAAACCAAAAAGAAGAGCACCGAACACGUCUGUGUUCAUAAACGGUGGCCGUGCUAGAAUCCACGGUCGAGGUAAUGGAAACCCUAUCAGAGCACCGAAUCUCGGCCGCAGCUCCCGCCGUCUUCAUAAUCGUCGUCGCUUUCCAGUUCCUCUCCAAGUGGCUCGAACAGUCAAAGAAGGUACACCCACAACUCUACCCCUACCGCAUAGAUUUCAAAUUCGAUGCUUGAAUUCUUCAAUUGGAUCGGUUGUCAUGUUUUCUGAUAGCUCAAUUCUGACUGAGAUUGGGUUCUUUUGUUGUUCUCAGCGAGGACCAGUGACUGCUGAGGAGACUCGGUUGCGAAGAGAGAUCAAACAGCUUUCCAAAGAGGCAAGCUCCUUGUCACAGUGAGUAGUUUGUUAAUUUCAAGUCUAUGUUUUCUCAAUCUUGCACAGCAUUAUGGUUUCGGCUUUAAUUGCGGAUCAGUUGAUCUUGUUAGCUUCUUUAAUGAGUUAAGAACAUGUAUGAAACUUGAGCAGACGGUAUCGAUUAGAGGUUCACAGACGGUAUCUUAUUUUCUACUAUUAGUGUCGUUGUAGAAAUGUAACAGCAUUUUGGUAGGACGAAUAGUGAAUUAGAAAGUUGAAAGAGCGUACAUUUUGCAGUUGUAUGAUUUUAGUUUUUGUUGAAUGCUUAUUUUCUUGAGCAGACGGUAUCGAUUAGAGGUUCACAGACGGUAUCUUAUUUUCUACUAUUAGUGUCGUUGUAGAAAUGUAACAGCAUUUUGGUAGGAUGAAUAGUGAAUUAGAAAGUUGAAAGAGCGUACAUUUUGCAGUUGUAUGAUUUUAGUUUUUGUUGAAUGCAGACCAGCAACAUUUGCACAAGCUGCAAAGCUUAGGAGGAUGGCGACUGCGAAGGAGAAAGAACUUGCUAAGCGUACUAUAUGCAAACUCAGCCAUUCAUUUAUGUUUAUAUGUUUGUUGCCCUGUUAUGGGUGGAUAGAUUCUGACAGUUUUGCCUGACUUCCAGAUCAAGAGUUACAGGGCAAGGAGUUAAAAGGUUCAUAUAAUUUGUAUCUGAAUGUUUUGUUCAUCUCCAAGGUAAUGCUGGAUCUAUUAAAAUAUCAAGUAUUCUUUUUGCCUUCCCUGAGUUAAGGUUCUGACAGCUACAAUAAUCACCGUUUAGGUCUUGACAUAUCUUGUGCUGGUUUGCUGGUUUUGGAGGGUUCCGGUUGCCUCCAUAUCACAACAACUUGUUCAACCCUUCGGUAAUACAUUCUUCUUCCAAAUUUACUUAUCAAGUCGUGUAGAUCUUUCUACCAGUUUGGCUAUUCACAAGUAUUUCUCUUUGUUCUUCUCUUUAAAAUAAUUUGACAUCUGAGUUCUCCUCACUACCAUGCAUAUCUGCUCCUCCUAAGCGUAUGACUUUGCAUAAUUACUAAUCUAUCAACAAAAGAGAGAAAAGGAGACACGCUUCUGAAGCACAGAUCAAGUAGGAUGCAGAUUAUAAGUGAUAGUAACAUAAAUAAUCGAGUGUACUCAUGAUUAUAUAUUUUUGCUUUUCAGGAAAGGUGAUAUCAUGGAGGGCUGGAGGAGUAUUAAACGGAAAUGUUAUGGUAAAUAAGAUUGGACCGUACUUUUUUGUUCUUGCUGUAGUAUACUUUUCUUGGGAGAAUUGUUACAGUUGCCUUUGUGUAUCGAGCAGCUAAAUGAUCUUACUAGUGUCACUUCUUUUAGCUUAUCUUUUAGUGCCUUCUUGUAUCUUUCAUAUAAGCUAACAGUACCUAGUCAUCUAUCUUUUAUAUUCAUGUGGCUAUGUUGUCAUAGGUUGUAAACAUGGAAGUCUCAUGGCAACAAGUUACUGUUAGCUUUAUUUGUGUUUGAACAAGCACACUCAUUAAGUCAGAAAGAAAAGAGUAUGGGUCUGUUUGCUGCGCAAGGUUAGAUUGGAUAUGCAACUGAAUGAACUUAUAGUUUAAAGAAAGAAAGAAAGCCCAGCAUCCACCUUUUGUGAAAGUUAAAGGAAGACGAUAAGUGACUUCAUUGAGGAAACUUAUCCUUUUCAGUUCUUACAAAAUGGUUGGACAUGUACUGCUUAGAAUUAAUCCAUCUACUCACUAACUUAACGUUUAUUUUUUUCAUUCAAGUCGGUGAAGUCACCUUGAAUUGAAUGGUUAUACAUAUCCGAUCCAAUCCUAGAUACUGAAACAGGCCCCAAGUUCUUUCAAAUUGCAUGGGAUAGGAAGCAUCUGAUGGUUUUGAACAUUUUUUUCUGAUUUUUUUCCUUGUUCGAUUGCAGGUGGGAAUUAUUCCUUGGUUGAUAUUGUCUACACGGGUUAGCAAAUUUGUUUGUCGACUUUUCAAACUGUAGAAUUUAUGUGAGUUCUGUCCCAAAUUGUCAUAAUGACGGAAAAUGAUGACGUUUUGAUUAGGAUUGUUUGACAAGGUUUACACAAGAGCUUAGGAUUACCUACUGAUCAUAUAGUUUUGUACUGUUUCUCUAUGUAAAUUGGGUUUAUUGUGCCAUGUGGAGAAAUCACUUAUUGUAAAACCCCAUUCUCCGUAUUGGAUUUCCAAACUCCAGUCAAAGUUUGUGAUGUCUUCUGUGAUCUGUACAAUCCCCUUCUGUAGUUUGUUAUGAUGGGAUGCUUUCACACAUCUAUUGAUAUUUGAGAAACUUAUCAUCAACUUCGGUCAGCUUUGCUGCUGAGUUGUAUUUUUCCUUUGUUAGCAUCGUAAAUAAGCAAAUGUAGGAUAUGGCUACUUCUUGAAACAGAUGACUCCAAUUUGAAAUUGGUGCAGCAAAUUAUUCUCCCCACACAAGUUCUUAGACAUAUACGAAGAAUUUGAAUCAAGGUAAAACACAAGAAGAAAACGUGGAAGGCAAAGAAGUAAAAGAACACAAGAACACGUCCUAAUGAACACUUAUCACCCAAUAUUGCUUUGUGCCGGUAUGGAAUGCGGCUAGCAUUAUUGUACAGGGCGUGGGCUGGUCUUGCUGUGAAAGAUAUGGUUGCAGGCAGCAGCAAUGCUGCUGCAGCAUCCCGAACCACUUCCCAGUUUCCACACAAUCGACCACCGGAAGACUCCACAAUAUUCAUGGAGCAAGGGCACCGCUACAAGCCGCUUUGUUCACACUUGGAUGUAUUCGACCACAGAAGUGGACUUCUGUUCGAACUUUAGACCUCAAACAGUUAAACGGAGCAAGUAAAUUGGCUAGCAAAAGGUGAGGACAACCAGGAAUAAAAGAAUGGAGGAAACGUUGAAUGUUCUAUUCAGUAUAGGAAAGUAUCCCGACUACUAAACACACUGGUAUAAGCAACAGAAAGAUCAUGGAAAAACUAUUUCGUAAUACGGUCCACAAGACGGCAAUGAAUACAAGCAACAUACCAAGCAGGGAAUUGAUAGAUAAAAUUGAUAAAUAUAUCAAUCUUGGAGAGAGAAUUAACUAAAACUUAGCUAAUUAAUGUAUACAGUUUAGCAAUACUGUUGAAGCAAAAGUUUAAAUAUUGUUAUUUUAAAUUUAGAUAUUGACAAAUUUAACAACAAAUUUAGGGAUGUGAAAUCCAUACUCACUUUCUAUUUUUAGCAACUUAAAUUUUGUCUAAUAAUGACUUAAAUUUUGUCUUUAUAUGAGUAUGUAAAUUUAAUUAUAUUGCUGGGGAUGCUUAAUGAUCUUUCAUGGAGAUCGUAAGAUCGGAUUAAAGGAUCAAAGAUUUCUAGGUACAUUAUUUGUUGUAAAUGAAAGCUACAUAAAGACAAAAAAACAACAAGUUGUUUGAGCUAGACCUCCCUCAUCAAAUGGAGAGGGAGGUCAUAGUAACAGUAACAAUAUAAUUCCCACAAUAAUAGUAACAAGAACCGCAGCGAUCUUGAUUGCUUUCCCGAUUUUUUCAGACUUCAAUCUAUGCUGUAGCAGUGACUUAUAGAGUUGUUGCUGCCUUAGAGGCUGAGGUCGAUUCCUGAUUGAAGCAAGUAACUCUUCAUAUUCCGAAGGAAGUCCUCUAAGCACACAAGAAACGACUUCACGGUCCUCCAUUGGAAACCCAGCUGCAUGGAGGCCCUUGACGAUAUUUUUCACUUCGUUGAUGUAUAUAUGCAUGUGCUUGUUAUCUGCCUUUUUCAUCUUCAGAUUUUCGAGGCGAUCCUUAAGACGUUUCACGUGAGCUGCUGCCUUUUGAGCAAAUAGGCCUUCAAAGACCAACCAUAGAGCUCUUCCACUUGGGCAUCCUACUGCACGUCGGAGUAGUAGGUCUUCAGAUAAGCUUUCAUUGAUCAAACCCAGGAGUAACUGGUCCUUCUUAGUCCAAUGUGUAUAAGCUUCGGUGCCACUUGGUGGACACAGCUCUGAUCCUUCGGCGAGAUCCAAUAUAUCAUGGAAAUUGAGGAUUGGGGUGAUGAAGGAUUUCCACAGCAAGUAAUCAUGCGACCCCGUGAGUUUGACUGGCAUGGAGAUUGAAACUUGUUGAGGAGGCUGAGAGGUCAAUGACGAUGACAUUGCUGAUCGUCUAUGUGCGAAGCUUUUGAUACCUAAAAGAUAAAGAAGUGAGAUUCUUUUUCGGUGAUUGAGGAUUGGUUUCCAUCCAUCUUCUAGGUCACUAUUUAUAGGGAACUAGCACUGCAUGUGUAUAUUAUCAGUUGAAAAUAGAACUCGACUCGGAUUAGGAUUUAUAAUCCAUACUGCAGGUGGAGUUUUGGCCUCAUCGCGUUGGAUAAACCCCCCCAAGUCCCAGAUUCCUAGCUAGUUCAGCUAGUCCCAAACUUGGUUGGAUAAACUUUUUUGUUUUUGUUUUUGAAAGUGUGGUUGGAUAAACUUAAAUUCUAGAAAAGACUAAUUAACCGAUACUACUCAUCGCGUUGAUAUACUGCCAGAGAAGGAGGGAGAAUACCGAGUAGUACAUACGUUGAUGUACUACUCCCAGGUUAAUUAGUUCACAACUUCACAUAUUAAUUGACAGUUGAACCAUUCAUUUGUGUAAGUUUCCUGAACACUUUGUCAAAUUACUAGUUGCAUGUUCUGAGAAGUGAGAAUUGAAUUCAGAUAAUAACUAGUUCGGAGGAUGGGUCAGCACGCGCGUACAUAUAUAACAACAUUUUGUUCUUUAAAGUUAGUAAAGGGAUUAGUGUCAUUUUUUUUUUUCAUGCUGGUUGUUAAUUCUUCAAAUGAUUAAUCUUCUAGCUCUUCAAGUUGGUUUCUGCUAUGACCUGAUUAAUCUCAAUUCAUAUUAUAGGCUUGUGGUAGUGGUCGGAGUUUAUCAGUUUGGAACCUUCCUGCUUCUGAGUGAAUUUCAAGGACUUCAAGACAUGUAUGCAUCUGUACAGGAUGUAGUAUUUGAUGAAAAUCAAGUAAGCUUCUCCCUCUCUACCAUAGUUUCUACCUAGCGUUAUACAAAAACUGAGUAACUUUCUUUCAUAUAUAUUUCUCUAAAUUAAAGAAACUUUUAUACAUGUAUAGACUCCAUUUCACUCACUAGCCGUUGUUGCUUCUCUCCUUUCCAGAUAUUAGCGCGCAGUUGGCCGGAGCAGAUAGAGCCUCUACUUAGCCGUUUUGACAUAAUUAACUGGGGCGAUUCUCUUUCACAAAUGCAAUGUGCUCCUCAGUCAGCCUUUCUUGUCUCAUCUGGGGUAGGAAUUUAGCUUGAUCUUGCACUUCUAAGUUCUAACUUGAACAAUCUUUCGGGCUUCAUUAUGUUGGUCUUUUUUUGUACAAGAUUAUAAGAAUACUUGUUAGCUAGUCAUGAAAAUCCGUUCUCUAACUUGAAAGAAACAUAAGAAUAUGUCCACCCAUCCACAAAAAUUUAACCUAGGUUAAAAGCCACAUAGGCAAUCUAACCUAGAUAAAAAAAAAAAAACAACUCAUCCACCCGUGAAAUGAGUUAUCUCAUUUUCUAGGAGAGAUCUAACCUAGGCUAGAGGAGAAAAGUGACCCAGAUGAGGUUGAUCCACCUCAGCCCAUGCCCAUGCUCAUGGCUUGCAUCAGCGACGUGGCCUCCACACUAUGACACCCCUGGAAGAUACGUUUUACACACGGACAGAGGCAAACGAAGGAGACGCAUGUGUUGCACCGAAUUUUGGCGUGACAUGCGGAUGCAAUUUGACUCUUUCAAACGCAAUAGUACACAGAUCUUGACCGUUGGUUUGAGACAGUUUGACUAAUCUGAUGGUCCUUAUUUCAUGACCGUUGCAACUGAAUUUUUAUUUAAAAAGAAAAAUUCCGACCGUUUUGAAUAAAAUCAAAAAAAAAAAAGGUAGGUUGAGAAUAAAUACCAAAAAAAAAAAAAUUCAUUUUUUUUAAUAAAAAAUUGUAAUAUUUAUAAGGAUUAAAUUCAGUUUGCCCUCUCGUACUUUAGGUCAAUAAUCAAUUUGGUCCCAUAUCUUUUUUUUAAUAACGUUGGUCCUUGAAGUUCUAUUUCACAUCAGUUUAGUCCAAUUUUUGAAUUGCCCUCCUUACCAUGACGUCAUGGUAACAAGGGGCCCAAUUUCUGACUUAAAAGGACAGAAUAGUCAUUUUAUCAUAUUAUGGUCUUCAAAUAAUUCAAAAUUAACAGAAAUGACAGUGAUGCAUAGUGGUGCAUAUAAAAAAAUAAUCAAAGGUGUAUUAACCUCGUUAAAAAAAAAAAACUUCAUUGUAAAAAAAACAUUACCAAAACCAUCGAAAUGGCAGUAACAAAGUAGAACAUAUUACCAAAACCAUCAAAACGAAUACAAAAGAUGUCAAAUUACCAUUAGCUACCAUUAACUAAGCAACCAAAUAGAUGCAUCAAUGUGUUUUACAUUAGAACUAACAAAAAAAUAGUAGUUUCUGUCGAGUUGCAUAAUAUCAUAAGUCUAAUCAUCUCCACAAAAGAUUAGACUUAGCAACCAUAUGUUACAACAUUACAACAUAAGAAGGUUGCUCAAAAAUAUUGCAACCAUAUGUUACAACAUAAGAAGGUUGCACAAAAUAUUGCAUCUCUAAAUGCUAACCUUGGUUGCUAAUCCCACAAUCCCCUGCAGCUAUUUUCCAGCAUUCCUUUGUUGGAUUCUCACAGACGCCCUUGAUGAAGUUUGUGAAGCUUGUGGUGCAGAAGAUGCAUUUGCAUUGCUUGAAGUAGGUUUUGGUGGUCUCUCCCUUCUUGCAGGUGUUGUUGUUCCCCUAGUUGCUGCUUUCUUUGCAUCCUUAGCCUCCUAUAGUUAAUUUCAUUAAAACAAAUGAAUCAUAACAGUUACUAACCAAAAGAAUGAACAUCUAAUAAAGAAUAGUUAAGGGUUAAUUGCCGAUCAAUUUACCUUCUGUUGCUUGGCUCAUCUAAUUGCCUUUGCUCUAAGCUCAUCUUUUGUCUUUAGGGGUGGUUUGGUACCCUUAGGCUACAACAAAUAUAAUCAAUAUAAGGUCAACAAAUAUAAUCAAUAUAAGGUCAUCUUUUCAAACCAUUAUCAAUUGAACAUAAAAGUGAAAAUACCUUAGAACCAGAUGAACCCACAUCUGUGUUCAGCUUUCUCUUCUUUGCUACAACUAUCUUGUCUUUGGGAGGAAGAUGUCUGUGGCAAGUCUUUCUGUUGUGACCUAGAACCCCACAGUUGCCACACUUCAAACUCUUUUGCACCCUCCCAAGCUUUGUACCCUCUAAAUUUAGUUCAGAUGCAUCUUUGAAUCUUUUAUUCCUUGGUCUCCCUGGCUGCCUAUUAUACUCUGGGGGGAGGAUAGCAGGUUCACAAGGGAUCCACAAGUCCAUUCCAUUCACCGGCUUGACUGUGUUAGAGUAAAUCGCCAUAUAAGUCUUCAUAAGGUAACAAGGAUCUAUAUAGUCUUCCGGACUUUGCCGCAUAAAGUUGAUCACCGAUAUGGCAUGUUUGCAUGGAAUGCCAGUGAGAUCCCACCUCUUACAUGCAUAACUUCUUCUUUCCAGAUCAACCACAUGCCUACUUCCUCCAAAGCUCUCUAUCUCAAUUUGAGGGCUACCAGUGGCAUAAGGAAUACAGUCUGUGGCAGAUUUAACUUUGUUUUUCUCCAAAAAUUCCCUUGGCUUGGGGCAGAUAGGGUCCUCCACUUUGCUCAUCUUGUCUCUUCUCAUUACAAUCCUUCUCAUCAUCCUUACCCUAAUCUCCUCAAAGCAAGAAAUCACAACUUUGGAUCUAGCAGGUAAAAUGAAAGCAUUAAAACUUUCACAUAAGUUAUUGAGAAGAACAUCACAUUUCAGAUGGGUACUAAAGUGUGCCCGACACCAAGUCUUGGUGGUACGUAAGGGAUCUAGUAAAAAAAAUAAAAAUAAAAAAUAAAAAAUAAUCAAAUUAGAUAUAAGCUACUGAACUAGUAUUUAAACAAGGAUGUACAACUGCAUGAUGAAAUACCUGUUAACCAGUCAUGAGCUAAAGGGUCCAUUUCCUUCAUCAUAGUCAUCUCUUUGGUGUAGUAGGGAAUGGUUGUAGACUUGGCUAUUUCCCACAAUUGAUCCUUCAGCGUCUUUCCCCGAUAUAACUUAUUGAAAUUGGUCCACAUAUGCCUAACACAGAACCUUUGUUCUGCAAGUGGAACCACAUCCUCACAAGCUCUCUCUAUUCCCUUCUGCUUGUCUGAUAUAAAUGUCCAUCCAUUGCCUCUUCCAGUUAUCUCUAAAUCAUUCACCAACAACCUUAGAAACCAAUCCCAUGAGUCUUUNNNNNNNNNNNNNNNNNNNNNNNNNNNNNNNNNNNNNNNNNNNNNNNNNNNNNNNNNNNNNNNNNNNNNNNNNNNNNNNNNNNNNNNNNNNNNNNNNNNNNNNNNNNNNNNNNNNNNNNNNNNNNNNNNNNNNNNNNNNNNNNNNNNNNNNNNNNNNNNNNNNNNNNNNNNNNNNNNNNNNNNNNNNNNNNNNNNNNNNNNNNNNNNNNNNNNNNNNNNNNNNNNNNNNNNNNNNNNNNNNNNNNNNNNNNNNNNNNNNNNNNNNNNNNNNNNNNNNNNNNNNNNNNNNNNNNNNNNNNNNNNNNNNNNNNNNNNNNNNNNNNNNNNNNNNNNNNNNNNNNNNNNNNNNNNNNNNNNNNNNNNNNNNNNNNNNNNNNNNNNNNNNNNNNNNNNNNNNNNNNNNNNNNNNNNNNNNNNNNNNNNNNNNNNNNNNNNNNNNNNNNNNNNNNNNNNNNNNNNNNNNNNNNNNNNNNNNNNNNNNNNNNNNNNNNNNNNNNNNNNNNNNNNNNNNNNNNNNNNNNNNNNNNNNNNNNNNNNNNNNNNNNNNNNNNNNNNNNNNNNNNNNNNNNNNNNNNNNNNNNNNNNNNNNNNNNNNNNNNNNNNNNNNNNNNNNNNNNNNNNNNNNNNNNNNNNNNNNNNNNNNNNNNNNNNNNNNNNNNNNNNNNNNNNNNNNNNNNNNNNNNNNNNNNNNNNNNNNNNNNNNNNNNNNNNNNNNNNNNNNNNNNNNNNNNNNNNNNNNNNNNNNNNNNNNNNNNNNNNNNNNNNNNNNNNNNNNNNNNNNNNNNNNNNNNNNNNNNNNNNNNNNNNNNNNNNNNNNNNNNNNNNNNNNNNNNNNNNNNNNNNNNNNNNNNNNNNNNNNNNNNNNNNNNNNNNNNNNNNNNNNNNNNNNNNNNNNNNNNNNNUAAAAGUAGUGUAGUACUUGUGGUGAUAUUAGGAUUGAGCCUAAUAAUGUCAGCAAACUUCCUAAUAAGGUAGGGGUUUUGACAACAGGAUUCUCAUGGACCCUUGCACAAGAAUGCUUGGGAAAGUAUUUCUUGAUCUGUAGUGUGCCAUCAUGCUGCAUCUUCGAUGCAAAGAGCUCAAACUCACACUUAGGGGCCUUAGAUAUCACCCUCACUCGAUCCCUAUCAUUUUUGUCAAAAAUUGGAACCCAACCCUUUUGAAUGGCCCUAUCCUUGAUAGCUUCUCUUAGAAUUUUUGGCGUAGCAAAGAGCAUCCCCAAGGUAAACCUAGGAUUCUCCACAUCAGUUUUAGGGUUGAACUCUGGCCACUUCUUAUCAUUACCAUCUUCAUCAGAAAGCACUCCUUGGCCGAUUCCCUCCUCAUCUGAGUUUAUAGCCCCAGCCGUCUCUUCAUUAUCUUCCAAGUCACCAUCAUCAUAAAAGCCAAAGUCUGUAUUUCCAAAAGUAACUCCUUCUCCAGCUGCAACUUUUGAAGUGCCCAUACCAUCAGUCACCAAUUCAGCCUCUGUUAACCAGUCAAAAAGAAAAUCAUCAUCCACUCCAUAAUCUGCAUACUCAUCAUCAUCCUUUGCAGGGUUGUAAUCAUCAUCUUCAGAGUCAUCAACCUCUGAACCAUCUUCUUGUACAACAUCUUCAGCUGCCCCUAAACCAUCAUCUUCACUAUCAUCAUCAUCCUCAACUGCCUCAAACUCUAACUUAUUCUUGCCUUUAUCUCUAGGGUCAAUUGUUGGAGCUCUGCUAGCUUGGGUUGCAACCUCUACAUGUUCUCUAAUCAACACACCUUUCUCAGGUUUCCUCUUAUUUGCACAUCUUUUAAACUUUCGGGUCCUUGGUGUACUUGCAUCUGCCACCUUAGUAGACUGUUCUUCCCUAGGUGGAUUGGAGAUCUCCUCUAUUCUCACACUUGUCCUCGGUGGUGAGUCAGGAAUCUCUUCUAUCACAACCCCACUUGAUCCGGCUUGACUAAAUCCCCAAUCAAAUAUAUGUUGUUCAAACAUCUCCAUCUCAGCUUCUCCAUUGUAAGCAGGGUCAAGCUCUAAGUGGUCUAGGUAAAGAAUGACCAAUCUUAUCUCAGGCACCAAGCAACACAUACUCAUCACAUCAGUAUCAUUAGACAGCUUGCUCAUUAUGUCUCCCUCAGUGCCUAUGCUAUACCAAUAAUCAAUACGUGUUCCAGCAUAUGCAGGAUUAAUCCCUCUUACCAUAUUAUCCACCUCAGUCAAUGAUAUUCGGUCUUUGUCCACAUAAUCGUAGUAGCUAAUGCUGCCACCGAUGUACUUGGCCUCUACAUGAUGCACAUAUCCCCCGUGAUACACUUUCAUUGUAAAAUAGUCAGGUUAUACUGGAACACAUGAACAACAUACAAUAUUAAAUGGAUCCAGGAAUUAAACCCCACCAAAUGGUCCAACUACUAUAAACCAAACAUAUUCAAUUCUCCAAUACAAACAACGUCCUAAAAGUAAUCGUUCUAACCACUAUAAACAAAAUAGAAAGCAUAUUCAAUUCUUCAGUAGGACCACUUUUAAACCCUUACCCUUUGUUAAAUCCCUAUUUUACCAACCCAACAACAUUCAUCGAUUGAACAAUCAUCCAACAAUCAAUAUUCAUAUAGGACAAUCAAUAUUCAUAUAGAACAAACCAAAAAACAUUAAUUGAAAUCCUAAAAAUCUAAGGUCCACUAUCGAAACACCAAAGUCCAUAAACUUCCAAACCCUAAACCAUAACAACCCUAAAUUCGAAGCUUCCAAACCCUAAAUCUAUAAACCAAACAACCCAAAAUCAAUAGAAUCAAAUAAAAUUGAAAACCCCAACUCACCAUAAUUGGGAAUUUCUGGCCAGACGCCUUCGCUUCGGGGUAUCCAUUCAUCAAUUGGAGGCGCAGCCAUGCUCUUUCGCGACCUAUGAUGGGUGGUUUAGGGUUCUAUGAGGGACGACACAGUUUCUAGGUUUCGCUCUCUUUUUUGAGAACGAGUGAGAGCGACAGCGACUGAGAGAGAGUGACUGAGAGAGAGCAAACGAGAGAGAGAGGUAUAAACGGUGAGGGCUAAUUUGGUCAUUUCACGUAAACUCUCUCCUUUAAAUCAGAAAUUGGGCCCUUGUGUCGCGGACAGCUCAACGCAUGACGUCAUGGUAAGGAGGGUAAUUCAAAAAUUGGACUAAACUGAUGUGAAAUAGAACUUCAAGGACCAACGUUAUUAAAAAAAAGAUAUGAGACCAAACUGAUUAUUGACCUAAAGUACAAUGGGGCAAACUGAAUUUAAUCAUAUUUCUAAUAGUAACAUAAAAAAAUCUCCUAUAUAUACUUGGUCAAUUUCUAAUAGACCGUAGUCUUUUAAAUGAAUGUUGGAUUAUGCACUGGCCCAAUACCCACCUUACUCAUUUGGCAAGGGUUGGCCAACCAUAAUCCUUUACUUCUAUCUACGGAACUGCCUUGUGAUAAUAGGAGUCAUAUUUUUCGGUCUGAAGCGGGUUGGGCCGAUGAGAAUGAGCCUAAACAGAUUGUUGAAGAAUGUUGGAAGCCUCAGACUUACUUGCCUAGCCUUGUUCAAUGGAAAGCAAAUCUCUCCUCUUGUAAAAAAAAACUCUGGAUUUGGAGUAAAGAAAGAUUCCCAAUUUGUAACAAACAUGAGAUCAAAGAGUGUCUCCUUCAACUUGAAGAGUUACAAGGUACUGAUCCAUAUGGUUCUUCUUCUACCCAAUUGAAUCUCAUUAACCGGUUGGGUACACUUUGGCUGAGGGAGGAGAAAUACCGACAUCAAAGAUCUAGAAUUCGUUGGCUCUCAGUGGGUGAUUCCAAUACUCGUUUCUUCCACUUAUCUACUUUUCAUCGGAGGCAGAGGAACCAGAUACUUAAGAUUCAGAAUGACUUUGAUCAAUGGAUUGUUGGGGAGAAGUUUAUUAGAUUGGCGUUUGAGAAUCAAUUCCAACAGACAUUUACCAGUAGUGGUUUGAGGAAUUGGGGGGAUUCGUUGAGGGGUGUUGCCCCUGUUAUAACUAAUGAGAUGAAUGAUGACCUCAGCUGGCCUUUCACUUAUGAUGAAGUUAGAGAUGUAGCUUUUCAGUUGGGAGCGUUGAAAGCUCCAGGGCCAGAUGGAUUUCUAAGCCUCUUCUAUCAUAAGUAUUGGGGAGUUGUUAAUGGUAUCAUAAAGACUACUUCCUCUGAUUUCCUUGCUGGGAAGGUGAGUCUUAGGAGCAUUAACCAAACUCAUAUUGUUUUAAUCCCAAAAAUCCCCAACCCAGAAAUAACUUCUCAUUUCAGACCAAUUAGCCUUGCAAUAAUUCCUACAAAAUCUUGUCCAAACUCCUAACCAAUCAACUUAAACCUAUCUUUUCCCAUAUUAUUUCUCCCAACCAAAAUGCUUUUGUCCCGGAUAGUCUCAUCCAGGAUAAUAUUAUGCUUGCCCAUGAGACGUUCCACUAUCUCAGGUUGAAGAAGGGUGGGGAGAAUCAUGAGUUUGGUUUAAAGCUUGACAUGAAUAAAGCCUAUGAUAUGGUUGAGUGGGAUUUUCUUGAAGCUACCCUUCGCCGGUUUGGUUUUGCAAAUGGUUGGGUGAACCUAAUUAUGGCGUGUGUGACUACUGUGUCUUUUUCUAUCGUUCUCUAUGGUUGUCCUGGGAGUUUCUUCUGUCCGAGUAUAGGAUUGAGGCAAGGAGACCCUCUCUCCCCUUAUUUCUUUUGGUUAGUGAGGUUCUUUCUCUACGUAUUACCAAGAUUGUGUUUACUUGGUGUGAGACUUGCCACUAAUUGUCCCCCAUUAUCCCACCUAUUUUUUGCUGAUGAUUCACUAUUUUUCAUGAAGGCCACCUUCCUCAACUGUUCCAAGAUAUCUAUGAUUUUCAAAGAAUACUGUUUGGCUUCAGGUCAACUUAUUAGUCUUGAAAAAUCAAGUAUUUAUUUUACUCCUAAUACCUCUGAUCAGAUGAAGCAUCUUAUGAGUUUGUUGUUGGGUAUCAAUGGCACUGAUCAACGGGGAAUAUAUCUAGGGCUCCCAACUUUUUGGGGAAGGUCAAAAAAUGGGGCUUUGGCAUACAUCAAAGAGAAGUUGAUGAAUAAGAUGGAUGGGUGGAAAGAAAAUGUAUUGACUCAAGCUGGCCAGGAAGUACUUAUCAAGUCUAUGGUUCUUGCUAUUCCAUCAUACCCCAUGUCCUAUUUCAGAUUUCCUAAAGGUAUAUGUGAUGAUUUAAUGCUGCAUUGGGGAAUUUUUGGUGGGGGUCCAAUGAGAGUGAGAUCAACAUCCACUGGAAAAGUUGGCAAUUUCUGGGUUUACCUAAAGAGAAAGGAGGAAUGGGGUUCAGGGACUUGCAUGAGUUUAAUCUAGCAUUGAUUGCUAAGCAAGCUUGGAGACUAACCAAUUAUUCAGACUCUUUAUGGGCUAGGUCUUAAAAGGGAGAUAUUAUCCCAAUUGUUGUUUUGUAGAGGCAACAAAGGGUUAUAGGGCCUCUUGGAGUUGGUCGAGACUUCUUGAAGCUAGGGAUUUUAUCACAAAGAAUAACUACUGGCAGAUUGUUUCGGGAGCCAUGGUAAACAUAUGGACUGACUAUUGGCUUCCACCAACUGACACAAAUGAACCGGUUCGCCCAAUUCAUAUUACUGGACUCAUUCCGAGUCAUGCUCCUAUCAUGGUUGAAGAGAUUAUUGAUUGGGAUCAAUGUUAUAAAAAUCCCCGCCUAGAACCGAUUAAUCCCCGCCUAAGCGUUAGGCGAUGCUUUACCGUUUCCGUCUAGAGAGCUAGAAAACCGAUUAAUCCCCUAUUAACCCCCUAGGCGCUAGUCACUGGCUAUCCGCCUGACUAGCGCCUAGCGUUUUUUAAAACAUUGAUUGGGAUACCCGAUCUUGGAAUCUAGGAAACAGCAGACUCUAAUCCAGCCAAUGGACUUGAAUCGUAUACUAUCCAUUCCUAUUGACAGGAGGGAGGACCUCGACCAUCGGAUAUGGCCCUUAACUAAGCAUGGUACUUUUACUGUCAGGUCGGCUUAUCACUGGUACCAUCAUUUGCAGUCAACUGUUCCUAUCAAUAUAUGGGUCUUCCCACUCCAUUGAUACUAGAUGCUAGGAGUUAAUAAGGAAACUGCCUACACUUCCAAAGAUCAGGCAUUUCUUUUGGAAAGCCUGCAGCUACUCCUACUUAUCUUAGUCUCUAUUAGAGAAAGAUCAUCCAAUCUCGGUUGUGCCCUAUGUGUGGUGUUUUUGAGGAGUCUAUUGACAUGCAAUCUUUAUGUGUCCAUGGGUUGACCUUGUAUGGUUCGGUUCCCCUCUUGGAUUGAAGAUUGACAAACAAUCAUACACUACACUCGAUACUUGGUUAUUACAGGUGAUUAAGAAUUUCAGUAGCAAGAAGGAUCGUCAAUGGGCUCUUACCUUGGUAUGUUUCUUCAUCUGGUCGAUCUGGAAGGCUCACUGUCGGUUUGUAUACCAACACAUCCCUGUUUCUCCGACCAUUGUCAUUCAGCUUGGUUGGGAGGCGGCUUCCGAGUUCAAGACAUCGACAAAACCUACUGCUGAAUCUCCUAUGUUUGAACAAGUUUUGAACUGGAAUCCUCCUCCAAUGGAUAUGAUUGCUAUCAAUUGUGAUGGGAGCUGGGAUAAAUCUGGAUUGGGGGGAAAAUGUGUGGUGAUUAGAAACCACAUGUGUUCGUUUAUGGGUGGUCUUGCUACCCCGAUUCGCGGUAGCUCAGUAGAGGCUGUGGAGGCGCUAGCCAUUCUAGCUAGCGUCAGUCUCGCCGUUGAUAUGAACCUGAAAGCAGUCCAAGUUCAAUCAGAUUCACAAUCAGUCAUCUUAGAUCUAAAUUCUCUUGCCACAUGCAAUAAUUAGAGAACUAACAUGAUUGUUGAAGAAAUCAAAUGGAAGAGCAAGUUUUUUGUUCGGGUUCACUGGAGGUGGAUACCGUGAGAAGCUAAUUCUGCUGCUUUCACAGCAACACAUCUUGGAAAAAGAGCGAUGGGCCUCUGCAUCUGGUCGAAGACUCCCCCACUGUCUCUCACUAUGGUUUUGAGAAAUGACGGGUUUCCAUGCCCUCAUAAUGAUGUAAUUUAGAGGAAGCACUGUGCUUCCUGUAUUUUAAGCUCUGUUAUCUUCUCUUACUGCCACUGUUUGGUUUGUGUUGGAGAACAUGAGUUUUCCUUGUGAUUUGUAGUUUGGGUUUUUUGCCUCUUUAUUGAAUUAUUCAGCUUGUCAAAAAAGAAAAAAGGAUGGUUUUAUCAACACCCUUAGUAUGGAACCCGGAUCCUCUCCUCAUGAGUUGGUCCUCAUAUUUUCUCAUGAGAGGAUCUCAGCCUUUUAUUAUGAACCAAUGGCUGAGAUCUUCCUAGUUAAUUUUAACCCCCUAUUACCCAACUUACUCACUUACUCUCCCUCUUCUCCUCAAAAUAUCAGGCUGCUCUCUCUCUCUCUCNNCNNNNNNNNNNNNNNNNNNNNUCUCUCUCUCUCUCUCUCUCUCUCUCUCUCUGUCGUCGUCGCCCCACACCCGCCCUCUCUCUCGAAUCCGCCGUCGCGAGCUCAGCCUCCCUCCGCAGUCGUCGCUCGUGAUCUCUCUCUCUCUUCCGUAGUCGCUCGCGAGCCUCCCUCCGCCGGCGACGACUCUGCCUCCCUCCGCCAGCGCUCGCCCGCCUCCCUCCGUCGUCGCUCUCUCUCUCUGCCGUCGUCGCUCGCUCUGCCUCCCUCCGUCGGCGACAACCUCUUCCACUGGUUACUCCGACAAGUCCUCUCUCUCUCCACGACGUCCUCCACCAUAUCUCAAGCUCUCAAUUUUUCAGUACUGGAGUUUCAGGUUCGAUCUGCAGUUGCAUGGGUGUAUGCGUUUCUUAUCUAAUUUGAUUGCAUUGGAAUUAUAGUUUUGAGAUUGAAUCUCACUUUUGUGUAUGUUCUUGUGAUUGUUGAAUAUAGGUCUUAAGAAUGGAAAAGUCUGUGGGAGAAAGCAACAAUAGUUUGGAGAGAUCAAAAGAAGAUUUGAAACCUAAAUAUUACAUGGAGUUUGAUUCUGAGAUAGCCGCAUUCAACUUUUAUAACACAUAUGUUCAUAUCACUUACAGGCACUGUAUUUUUUUUUUCAUCGGAUGCUUGGUGUUGCUUUUAUUCAUAUUUUACAGAAGCCUGUAACUUGCUUGUUUUACCUAAUUUAGUCUAUGAUAUCUUACACUAAGUUCCUUUUUAGGUUCUGAAAAUCUACUUUUGGUUGUGAAAUAAAUAUCUCUUCUGGAAUACAUUUUUGCUACGCCAUUUAAAAUUGGUCGACUCAUCUAAAAUUGGUAACCCAGAUAGAACUGAAAGUUUGUUUUUCUGCUGUUGUUUUUAUCUUCAAGAAGUGCAGUGGAGUCUGGGGCACAUUCUGCAACAGAUUCUCUCUUUAGAAUGGAUUGGCCGAUAGAUGGGGUGCCAUGCUCAUCUGCUAAAAUUUUUGAUGUGCUGAGACCUUCGUCUUUCAUGUUUGUAUAUAUAUCCACCUUUUUUUUUUUGGUUAUCUGAUUAUAUUACUGGUAUUACUACAUCUGAAUCAUUCCAAUAUGUCAAACCAGAUGUCUUUGAUGCCUUUUGAAGCAAAUUUUGGGACAUAUGACAAGAUUUGUAGUGUCAUUUUGUAUAACCGUUGGGAAAAUUGGCAGAUUUGUAGUGGCAUUUUGUAUAGCUGUUGGGACAAAUUUGUAGAUUUUGUAUAGUAGCUAUGAGUCUAUGUCUUGCAGAUUUUGUAUAUUUUGUAUAGUAGCUAUGAGCUUAUGACAACAUUUUGUAUAGUGGCUAUGAGCAUAUGACAAUAUUUUGUUCAAUCUAGUGCAACAGGGGAAAAAUGGUAAAUUUGAGAUGAUAGUGUCAUUUUCAGAAAAAACUGCAUUCUGUGUUUUUGCUACAUCUCUAUUCAGUUUUAAAUUACCUGCAUUACUUGCAAUAUUUUUUACUGAUCUCAGAUGAAAUGAAAUUGCAUUCUGUGUUUUUGCUCCAUCUCUAUUCAGUUUUAAGUUACCUGCAUUACUUGCAAUAUUUUUUACUGAUCAGUUCUCUCAUAAAUUCAAAGCUGAAACAAUCAAAAUGCAGUACAAUCAUUCAUACUGUGAAAGGUUUCUUCAUUGAAAAUUUGAAAAACCCUAGUAAAUUGGUCGAUGAGUCUAUCUGACAUCUUCUUGGAUUCACUAAUAUUUGAAUGACUAUAAACUAGUAUAGUAGUCAUUUUUUACAUGGGGUUGAAUCUACAAUGGCAACUAUCUUCUUUUGCAACUCUACCUUGUUGGCUCCGACAAGCUUGUCAACUUGUUGACCAUCUCGGAGGAAGAAGAAAGUAGGAGUGGCCUUGAUAUCCCAUGAAGUUCUGAAAUCCUGCACCAUACAAAACUGAAUGUUAGAAUCACCUACCAUUAAACAACUUAUGAUAGACACUAAACCAACAUCAAUGUAUUGGACACAUCAAACCAUCAGCAUCAAUAGCACCAACUUUAUUGAAUUAACCAAAUUGGUUACCAACUAACAGUAAGUUCAUCGAUUGCAAUCCUCUAUGGUGGUGAUGAGGUUCACAUUCCCACCAGUGAACUCAACAGUAUGUUCAGACUCGUCAUCUCCCAAAGAUUUAGACUACAAGCAUCACAAGCAUGAUAACUUGUCAUAUUAAACAAGGCAAGAAAAGUAAACACUUGGUGGCAUGCAAAAAGUAUCACAAUCAUUACAAAGAGCAUCAUAGUCAUUAAGAAAUGGAAACAUCUUUAUUGCAGACCCCAGAGAGGAGUACUAACUACAUCUUUUGCAUGAAUAUUAGGCAUAGAAACUGAAGUAUUGUCCAAUUUGUCUACAAAAUUCUGGUGAGGAAGAUGCGUAAUUACCAAUUGACAUAUGGAAAGUCAAUUCCCCUUCAGCAAUCAACGUGGUGCUAGGUACAAAUGGAAAUCUCAAGUAUUCAUCUCCACUAGAGUUGAAAACCCCAACAACAUCUGCAUUUUCCUCCCUUCUGUACACCGAGUCGCAUAAAAAACCAACGAGCUCGGUACAUAUCCAACAUCCCCACCAAGAGGAUUGCAAUUCACACCCCCACCACACUCACUCCCAUACACCAAUUCAAAUCUCUCGAGACGGUUACCAAGCAACCUACACAAACCACCGUUCGAAUCAUUCAAAUUACUCAAACCUAUACUCUCUCCACUCUCAACACUACUCGGAAAACUACUCAUCCUAUCUUCCCCAACAAAUGUAUACCCAUAACUAUGCUUCACAGAAAAAGUCAACACCAUAAUAGCAUCAAAAUAAUUCUCACCAUCAUCCUUGUCACUAACAACACUCUCUAAGCUCCCACUAAUUAAAUUGUCAUAAAUGCUAGACCAUUUCGGAUAAUUAAGCUUAAGAACAACAUUAGGCUCGAAGUUACCUGCAUUAUACAUGGACCUACUCUUCCCAAUCAUACACAGCUUCUUAUCGAAUUCCGAAUAAUACCCAUCAAGCCUGAACCUCACCACACCCCGCGUGACCGGAAUCCUCGGUCCCCGAAAGUUCACCAGCGUCGCCGGCGGGGGAGGCUCGAGAGCGACGACGGAAGAGAGAGAGAGAGAGAUCGCGAGCGACGACUGCGGAGGGAGGCCGAGCUCGCGACGGCGGCGGGAGGCAGAGAUCGCGACGACGGAUUCGAGAGAGAGGGCGGGUGCGGGGCGACGACGGCAGAGAGAGAGAGAGAGCAGCCUGAGCAGCCCGAUAUUUUGAGGAGAAGAGGGAGAGUAAGUGAGUAAGUUGGGUAAUAGGGGGUUAAAAUUAACUAGGAAGAUCUCAGCCAUUGGUUCAUAAUAAAAAGCUGAGAUCCUCUCACGAGAAAAUAUGAGAACCAACUCAUGAGGAGAGGAUCCGGGUCCCUUAGUAUGAGGGUAAGAGCUCGACAUUCAAAUAAUGAGUAUCUAAAUACGAAUUUAGGUUGACACAGACCAAAAAGGAUACAUAUCCAAUUUCGUUCAUCUUGGGUUUGGAUAAUUUACAGGCCCAACUAUAAAGAGUUGUAUUUUAAAAGAACACCGAACACGUCUGUGUUCAUAAACGGUGGCCGUGCAAAUCCUCAGCGCCUUCUCAACAACUAAGAAGAAGAAGAAGCAGUAGCUACAGAUCGAGGUAAUGGAAACCCUAUCGGAGCACCGAAUCUCGGCCGCAGCUCCCGCCGUCUUCAUAAUCGUCGUCGCUUUCCAGUUUCUCUCCAAGUGGCUCGAACAGUUAAAGAAGGUACCACCCGAAACUCUACCCCUACCGCAUAGAUUUCAAAUUCGAUGCUUGAAUUCUUCAAUUGGAUCGGUUGUCAUGUUUUCUGAUAGCUCAAUUCUGACUGAGAUUGGGUUCUUUUGUUGUUCUCAGCGAGGACCAGUGACUGCUGAGGAGACUCGGUUGCGGAGAGAGAUCAAACAGCUUUCCAAAGAGGUAAGCUCCUUGUCACAGUGAGUAGUCUGUUAAUCCAAGUCUAUGUUUUCUCAAUCUUGCACAGCAUUAUGGUUUCGGCUUUAAUUGUGGAUCAGUUAAUCUUGUUAGCUUCUUUAAUGAGUUAAGAACAUGUAUGAAACUUGAGCACACAGUAUCGAUUAGAGGUUCACAUGGCUUUUUCGUGUUUUAAACUUGAGCAUACAUUUUGCAUUUGUAUGAUUUUAUUUUAUUUUGAUGCAGGCCAGCAACAUUUGCGCAAGCUGCAAAGCUUAGGAGGAUGGCGACUGCGAAGGAGAAAGAACUCACAAAGCGUACUGUUUGCAAACUCAGCCAUUCAUUUAGGUUUAUGUGUUUUGGUGCCCUGUUAUGGGUGGAUAGAUUCUGACAGUUUUUCUGACUUCCGGAUCAAGAGUUACAGGGCAAGGAUUUAAAAGGUUCAUAUGAUUUGUAUCUGAAAGUUUUGUUCACCUCCAAGGUAAUGCUGAAUCUUUUAACAUAUCAAGUAUUCUUUUUCAGUUUACCUUCCAUUGUUAAAGUUCUUAACAGCUACAGAUAAUUUUCAUUUAGGUCUUGACAUAUCUUGCGCUAGUUUGCUGGUUUUGGAGGCUUCCAGUUGCCUCCAUAUCACAACAACUUGUUCAACCCUUUGGUAAUACAUUCUUCUUCCAAAUUUACUUAUCGAGUCGUGUAGAUCUUUCUACCAGUCUGGCUAUUCGCAAGUACUUCUCUUUCUUCUUCUCUUUAAAAUAAUUUGACAUCUGAGUUCUCCUCACUACCGUGCAUAUCUGCUCCUCCUAAGCGUAUGACUUUGCAUAAUUACUAAUCUAUCAACAAAAGAGAGACACGCUUCUGGAGCACAGACCAAGUAGGAUGCAGAUUAUAAGUGAUAGUAACAUAAAUAAUCGAGUGUACUCAUGAUUAUAUAUAUUUUUGCUUUUCAGGAAAGGUGAUAUCAUGGAGGGCUGGAGGAGUAUUAAAUGGAAAUGUUAUGGUAAAUAAGAUUGGACCGUACUUUUUUGUUCUUGCUGUAGUAUACUUUUCUUGGGAGAAUUGUUGCAGUUGCCUUUGUGUAUCGAGCAGCUAAAUGAUCUUACUAGUGUCACUUCUUUUAGCAUAUCUUUUAGUGCCUUCUUGUAUCUUUCAUAUAAGCUAACAGUGCCUAGUCAUCUAUCUUUUAUAUUCAUGUGGCUAUGUUGUCAUAGGUUGUAAACAUGGAAGUCUCAUGGCGACAAGUUACUGUAAGUUUUAUUCGUAUAUGAAUAAGCACACUCAUUAAGUCAGAAAGAAAAGAGUAUGGGUCUGUUUGCUGUGCAAGGUUGGAUUGGAUAUGCAACUGAAUGAACUUAUAGUUUAAAGAAAGAAAGAAAGCCCAGCAUCCACCUUUUGUGCAAGUUAAAGGAAGAUGAUAAGUGACUUCAUUGAGGAAACUUAUCCUUUCCGGUUCUUACAAAAUGGUUGGACAUGUACUGCUUAGAAUUAAUCCAUCUACUCACUGAACUUAACCUUUAUUUUUUUCAUUCAAGUCGGUGAAGUCACCUUGAAUUGAAUGGUUAUACAUAUCCGAUCCAAUCCUAGAUACAGAAACAGGCCCUGUGUUCUUUCAAAUUGCAUGGGAUAGGAAGCAUCUGAUGGUUUUGAACAUUUUUUUUCUGUUUUUUUCCUUGUUCGAUUGCAGGUGGGAAUUAUUCCUUGGUUGAUAUUGUCUACAUUAGCAAAUUUGUUUGUCGACUUUUCAAACUGUAGAAUUUAUAUGAGUUCUGUCCCAAAUUGUCAUAAUGACGGAACGUAAUGUUGUUUUGUUUAAGAUUAUCUGACAAGGUUUAGUAGUUUACACAAGAGCUUAGGAUUUACUUACUGAUCAUAUGAUCUUAUACCGUCUCUCUAUGUAACUCUAGUUUACAAUCACUUCUUGUAAACCCCAUUCUCUGUAUUGGUUUUCCAUGUGAAAAUCCAGUAAAAGUUUGCGAUGUCUUCUGCGAUCUGUAGUUUAUUACGUUGAUAAACUUAUCAUUAACUUUGGUCAGAAGGGAGUAAGUUCUUGUUGCUGAUCGAGUUGCAUUCUUCCUUGUUAGCAUCGUAAGUAGAAUAAGCAUUCUGAUGGAGGAUAUGGCAGAUACCAGAAUAUAUACCGCCAAGAGUACGGGGUUUCUGAUGGUUAACAUACAAUACUUUAUGUACAUCACAUUUUGUACAUGCGUAACCAGAUCAUGACGGUGUCAUGCGCAUUGAAAUAAUGUAUACGGAGGUUAUCCAUUUUGCGAGAAAGCAUGAAAAAACCAAAUACAAAGGAGAAAAAGCAACCAGUUACACAUGCAGCGAUAGCAAGUUCUGGUGAAUAACCUAAAACUGAAUAUGUGCCGGUAAGAAAUGCCACCACCAUUGCGAUCAAGGCGUAAAAUGUCAGAUUUAUUGCAGUGAGAAGAGGACCAUGCUCCUCCUUUCUUCGGAUCAAGGGACCAUGCUCCUCAUCCUUUCUUCGGAUUGCCAGAACAAUGCGGAUCAUAACAGCACAACUGGACAUACACAUGGCUAGUGUAUUGGCCAUCACGAAUGUUUUGAAUGCUGCAUUUCUUGUUAGUACCGCAAAACCCUGGUCCGGUCCUUUUUCACUUUGGUAACCCCCAGGCACGGCAAAACCUGCUGCAAAAGUUACAGUUGCUAUGAGUGUUGACACUACCAGAUUGGCCUCUUUUACUUCAUUUACCAUGAACUCCUUCUCACCAUCUUGGUGGAUUCGAAGACGGCAAUGUCCUCUUGCACCAGUUUUUAUCAACUGCUGGGUAAGUUCUGAGUGCAGCACCACCUACAGAUGGAACAUAGAUAACCAAGCAUAUGUGAACAAUGUAUAUAUAUGUUCGAUCCCAAAUAAACAAAAUCAGAACCAACAGAAAGCAAGUGUUAAUUGUCAAACUAAAGAUACACAUAUACGUACCUUCUCGCUUAAUUCAUUACUGUUUUGAAGGAUGUCCAAAGCGUUUAAAUUUCUUUUGUUAAAUGUCAUCUUAUCAACCCUGGGUUCACUUAUAAAAUCCAUGCCUUCAUACAGAGAAGUAGCAAUAUAAUGGAGAGGUGUGUUCCCAUCAGCAUCUUUGCCAUUUAAAAGGACACUGCUAAGCCAUGGAUCAUUUCGUAUAAAGGCUUCUACUUGAUGACUCUUUCCGUCGAUGGCAUAGUGAAGACCAUUCCGACCUUUAUUAUCAACGAAUUCACAACAAUCAGGGCAACGAGAAGCUAGCUCUUUCACUACAGAUAUAUUGCCCUGGUAACACGCAUUAUGAAAUGGCGACCUGUUUCUGUUAUCACAAAUGUAUGCAGCAGAUUUAUCACACUGUAGCAGUUGUUUCACAAUUGCAGCGUGACCCCAACAUGUGGCUAAGUGAAGUGGAGUAUCUCCUAGUUCGUCUACUGCUCUUGUCAAAGCCUUGUUGUUCACUAGAAGUGUUUUGGUCAUCUCUAAAACAUAAAGAGAAAGACUAUUUAGUUAAAUAAACCAAAACAUAAAAAAAUCUCGUUCGGCCGCUCACUAAAGUGUAGUCAUUUUGAGAGUUAAGAGACUAAAAAGAUGGAUUUUCAAAAUGAGAGACUGAACUGAUUUUAACACCAAAGUUCAGGGUACUAAACUGAAUUUUCCUUUUUUUAUAUAUGCUUACGUUCAUCAUUGGAGAUAGCUGCUGCGUGCAAAGAGGUGUAACCAUUGGGGCCUUGAUAAGUUGGGUUUGUGCAGUUUUUGAGCAUUUCAAUAACCAGGGCACGAUAUCCCCUCUCAGUAGCCAUGUAAACCGGAGUUUCGCCAGAAUCAUUUGCACUGUAGAAGAAAUCGGGGUCCUCUGUGGUCAACAUCCUCACUACAUCAAGGUGAUUAAAGCGCACAGCCUCGUGCAAUGCAGUGUUCUUUUCCUUGUUGGUUGUUCUUAUAAGCAUCUGCCAGCACGUCUCUUCUGUCGAGAUACCUCUCUCGAGGUCGCUGGAAUGAUGACAAGCUAAUUUCGAAGCCUGUAUAAGAACUUCCACUAUUGCAGCAUGCCCAUGUCUGGCCGAAAAGUGUAAUGGAGUGUCUCCGUUACCAUUGGGCUGCAAUAGUAGCGGCGGGCACAUCUGGACGAUCUCCUCCACGAUUUUGGCUGGCUUCGACUUCCGCACUGUUUCAGAUUUCGCCAAUGUUGCACGGCCUACGCAUGCUAUAUAAAUAUGGAGAACUGUGUUCUUGGAUGGAGUCAACAUUUGGUGAAGAUGCUCUCCGUGUUCUCUAAGGCAAUCUAUAUUACCUUCUCGUGCAGCUAUGAACACAUCAAUAUCCAUGCCACUAUAACUUACAAACGAGUUACCUGUGUUUGUGUCUGCCGAUUCUUCAAACUGAUCAGCAACACGAGAAGCAAGUGUACCUGUUGUCUCAGUGCUCUCAUCAUGAGUCUCAUACGAAUUGGAGUGAUUCAUUGUGGUAUAUAUGUUUCUGCUCCAGACUAGGGUGUGAAACAAGAACGAUGACUCGAUGAGAAGAUAUUGACACUUGACAGGUGCUUGUGGAGCUGCAGUUGGGUUAAGACUUAAGACUAAAGGAAAGGGUUAUAUAGAUAGAUAUCUCCAAGUGUAUAGAGCAUAAUCUACGUACGUUUCUAGCUCUGUGUUAGAUAAUAUAGUCCUCAAGAACACGCUUAGAAAUUAAGUUCGAAGUGAUACUGACGUCUUGACUCUUGAGGUUUUUGUUUAACCUUUUGUUUCUCAAGUGAGUCAAGUCUAAUGAGGAAGCUUCGAUCGGUGUACUACAUUAUCAAGUAUUUAUUUUUGGCCGGCCACGUUGUUAAGGUAUUCGAUCACAAAUCGUAACCUUCAUUUUUGGCUUGACUGAAUAAACCGUUACCUUCCUAGAAAUUAAAAACCUAUCAUGAGGGCACAAGUGGACAUAGCCAUGGCUAAUGCAUUUGUCUUUGUUAUCACAAACGCCUAUUGAAAGCUACAUUUCUUGAUGGAACAACGAAACCUAGCCACCAGGCAUAGUUAAACCUGCUGCGAAAGUUACAGUUGCAAUAUGAGUGUGGACACUACCAAAUGAGCUCGAGAUUCGUUUUUAUAUCCUUGAAUCUUGACUCGUUGCCACCUUUCUGUUCACGGUCGACUUCCGUGUCAACAUCUUUGUCUCUUGACACGUUCACAUACUCGUUGCACCAUAUCUUCCCAAACCGUGUUUCAUAUAUAUGUUUCUGCAUGCAGCACAAAAGAAAAUGGACAAGAAAAACAUGGUAAUCUAGGAAAUUUAUUUAUUUAUUUUGUGACAAAUGAAUAAUUUAUUAAUUAGAAAAAGCCAAGGAAAAAGAGCUAGUUCUAGCUAGCUAGCUGGUAAAUUAUAUACUUCCAACUCAGCAUUACCGCUCUCUAGAAUGAUGUUUAGCGCGUUUCUUAAUUAUGGUAAUUUGUUGCUGAAUAGGAGAGGGUGUGUUUCCGACAGAAUCUUUGCCAUGUAAAAGGACACUACUAAGCCAUGGAUCUUCCCGAACAAACUCUUCUACUUCAAUUAUUGAUAAUUGCAAUACGUAGGGCAUUACGACUCUUUAAGAACACCGAUUCGAAACUGUCAGCUAGGGAAGAACAUAACUACAUAUUAAGCUGUUGCCUUACACCUGAACGCCCAUAUUAAGCUGUUGUUCAACUAUGUGAUCAUGCCCGUGUUUGGAGGCCAUGUGUAAGGUUGUUACACCUCUCUCGUUGGCUUGCAUUAGCAAUGCUGGACACAUGCAUCUCGAGGAUACCUGCAACCGUAUUGAUGUUGGCUGUGUUAUUCGAUAACGUUCGGCUAUUCUUUUUGCCCAUGCAAUAUAGAUAUGGAGAACUGUGUUCUUUGUUGGAGUCAAUAUUCGGGAUAGAUGCUCUCCAUGUAACAGAAGGACAGAAAUAUUGCCUGUUGUUGCGGCCUUGUUUACUGGAAGUUUCAUCUCAUUUGUGUUGGAAAUUAUGUAAUAAUAUCCAAUAUGAAUGAAAAUAAAAUUACUCAUGACCUUUCCAUUUGAAAGAGUGUGUCUUUUUCAAUAGGUGUUUUUAAGAAUAAGUGUGUCUCUUCAAUGAGAUAAGUGAACGGACAUGUUGGUUCACUUGGGGUACUAUAAAAACGCAUACUCAUUUCUCCUUAAAGGUUAGAUUGAGAAUCCUCAAUUCUUCUACAUGUCUUGUUCGUGUCAAGAGAGUAUUAGAUACAAUUUAUGGUUCGCUAGAGUCCAAAAUUGCGGUGCUUCUAUUUUGGAUCAUUGAUUGUUGUAUACUACAAGGCGGACGCCCAUCGAACUACAAACACAAGGGUAGGGGCGAAAUAUGUCUUUAGUCAAGUGCAUUUAUGCAUGCCUCAAUCGGAAUAUCAAGUCAGUUUUUUCUUUCCUUAUACUACUUUUAUAGGAUUCUUACACUAUUUUACUCUUAUAUUAGGAUUGAUUCACUACUUUCAAUCCUAAACGAAUAUUGUUAUGUUUUUUAUAUUCUUUAUUGAAAUUUCUAUCAUAUUUAUAAUCAAAUAUAUGAUUGUUCCCUAACAACUUGCGCAUUCAUCUUGUGCUUGAGAUUCUUCUUUUUGAAAGAAAAGAAAUGGAGUUUCAGAUAUAUGUAUUUAUAUAUAUACAGUGGGUACAUGAUUCAAUAUUUCAAGUUUCUGAAAUACUUCUACCGAACACAUGUUUAGAUCUUGAAAACAUGUAGUUAUUUAAUCUCCGGUUUUUGUUUUGCAAUUCAGUAUUACAAAAACAGUUUAAUAAUCUUUUCGUUCUCCAAAUAAAAUCCUGAAACCGCCGCCAACUAGAAAAAUCCGGAUGAAGAAAUAACAAGAAGGCACCGUGGCCAAAGAAGAAAACACACCCAAGAACAGAAGCCUCAAUCGCGAGUCCUAAUGAGGAAGGACAUCCUAAUACUGCGUAUGUGCCGGUAACGAAUGCCACCACCAUUGCAACCAUGGCGUACACGGUGAGUUCUAUUGCCGCCCCAUAUGGUCCCAAUGCUAAGCGAAGUACCGUAAUUUCCUUCCUUCUCCACAACAUACAAAAGUGUACCACGAUAGCACAACUGGACAGACUCAUGGCUAAUGUAUUUGUUAUCACAAAUGUCUUGAAAGCUGCAUUUCUUGAUAGAACUGCAUGACCCUGGUUUGGUCCUUGUUCACUCACAUAACCACCGGGGACAGUGAAGCCGGCGGCGAAUGUAACAGUUGCUAUGAGCGCAGACACUACUAAAUGAGAUUCUUUUAGGUCCUUGAAGUUUGACUCUCGGUCACCUUUUUUCACAUCGACUACUUCCUUGCCACCACUAUUCUCUCUUAUUGACUGUAGUCGCCAACCCCAUCUUGCACCUGACUUUGUCAAUUCCUCACGGAGUUUUCUCUGCAGCACAUACACAAAAUGAAAAUGUGAUCUAUAUAGGAAAACAAAUUCUUGGAAAAAUUAAGCGUGUACUAGCUUAGCUAGUAAAUAUAUAUAUAUAUACCCUCCACGGACGAUCGGUGCUUUUUUCACCUAUGUUUAGCGCGUUCAUAUUUUCUUUGUUGAAUGCCAUCUUAUCGACUCUAGAAUCACUGAUGAAUUCCAAGCCUAGGUAGCUUUCGGAAAUAGCAAUUUGAUGGAGAGGUGUGUUUCCGGCCGAAUCUUUGCCGUUUAACAUGACACUACUAAGCCAUGGAUCUUCCCGAACAAAAUUUUCUGCUUCAUCAUCAUUAUUGAUAAUUGCAAUAUGAAGGGCAUUGCGACCCUUAUCGUCCACCAACUCGAAACUGUCAGGGGAGUAGAAAUAGAGCUGCUUCAGUACAUCUCCACACCUGAACCUGAACAUCUUAUGAGCAGCAUAAUGAACUGGUGUGCUCUUGUCAUUGUCGCCAAUGUAGGCAGUGGACUUGUCACAUUCCAGUAUUUGUUUCACAAUUGAAACGUUGCCCGUAAUUGCAGCCAUAUGAAGUGGAGUCCUUCCUUCUACGUCAGGUGCUUUUGCUAGCGCCCUUUCCGUCUCAAGUAAUCUUUUCGUUAUUUCUUCAACAUAUACAAAGCAAAACGCAAUGUGUAAAGCUGUUUCAAUGAGUAAAUUCUAUAUUGUGUUCACAUGCAUCAACUUUGGAUAUAUGCUUACCUUCAUCACCGUAGAUCGCUGCAAUGUGUAAAGCUGUUAAACCUUUGGGUCCUUGGUAGGAUGGACUAGUGCAAGUGUCGAGGAUUUUGGAAACCAAUUGGGUAUGUCCCCUCUCAGCAGCCAUGUAGAGUGGAGUUUCGCCAGCAUCAUUAGCAGAGUACAAAAACCCAGGGUCUUCCUCAGUCAAUUUUUUAACCACAUCAAAGUGAUUGAACCGCACUGCCUCAUGCAAGGCUGUGUUUUUCUCCUUCUUAGUUCUUCUUAUCAGAAACUGGUGGCAUGCUUCUCGUGAUGAGAUACCUUCCUCCAGGUCGCCAUGCCGGACUUUCGCAGCCUGAAUAAGAACUUGAACUAUCUCAGCACGUCCGUGUCUUGCCGCCAAGUGUAAGGCAGUAUCGCCGCUCUGGUUUGGCUGCAGUAGUAGCGGCUGGCACAUUCCAAGCAUCUCCCUUACAACCUCGGCUGACGUCGUCUUUAGCAAUUCUUUAGACUUGGUCGUCGACUUUGCACCGCCUACUACGUACGCCUGCAAUGUAGUCUAUGUAGACAUGGAGGACAGUGUUUUUGGUUGGAGUCAACAUCUGGUGAAGAUGAUUGCUCUGUUCUCUAAGGGCAUCAAUAUUGCCCUCUUGUGCGGCCUUGAACACCUUAACAUCCAUGUUGCUUAUGCUUUCCUCGACUGGUGUAAAUAUCUGGAUUUCCAUAUCAGCUGAAUCAGAGGGAUUUAUUUUUUAGUUUUCUCAAGAACUCGAAAGAGGACAAUAAUGAGCAAGAAAACUAACUUGAUCAAGGAUUGCCGGAAGAUAUUUGGGUGAGGAGUAGGGGAAGAGAAGGGUUGUGUAUAUAUAGAGCAGCUAAGCUACUCGAGCAUGCAUGCAUGGCAAGGUUAAUUAUUCAAAGUAAGGCAUCAAUUUGGAAAAGGACCCAGGUGACAAAAGUCGAUGUUAGAAAGUCUUCUGGUAUAACAAAGUAAUGGGACGAAUCUGCAGGUUCGAUUAGGAUUUGAAAGGCGCGCAUCAUAUUCGGUUACGUACAAAUGGAAUAAGAAUGAGAAUUGAGAAAAGGAUGACCGGCCACGUGCAUAUAUGUAAUGCUUGUGAAUUAAUUAAGAAUAGCUAGCAAAAGUCACUUGAGAAUAAAGAUUUGGAAAAGAUACUCGUUUUUCAUGUUUCCAACAUUUCUUGAUUCGUUAGUUACUUUAUACCUCCCAUUCUAGUGUUGAGUUUAAAUAGCUUCGGGACCAUUUUAUUUCAUUGUACGUACUAAUCUUUUGUGACAAAAGAGCUUAACAAACUGAAUGUAACAUACGAGUGUAUCAAAUGAGUACAUGUACCUUUUAAUUUUAAGGAGAGUGGUUUUACAGAAUAUUAUUCUUUUGAAAACAUUAAGAAGGAAAGUAAAAUCAUCACCAAUUGUUAUUGUUGUUGUAGCUUCUUGCGGUGGCAUGUUGGUUGGACAACAGCUCUGCAAAGUUGGCCUCAUCCUCACCAUGUACAUUAAUCAUGCAAACUGAAGCUAGGAUCCAUCAACCAUCCCCUAAUUUUCGAGAUCAAAUUGACCUAAUUUGAUUCAGAAACAAAGCAACAAAACCUUAAAUGAGAUGACGCAUAAUUUCUCAAAAGAUAAGGGUUUGAGUGACUUUGAAAAGAUUUUCCACAAAAGAUUAGGGUAUAAUUUUUAUUAUACGUAAUUGUCCUCAUCACCAAGUACAUUCGCCAAUGCUCGAGUUGCAGUCGACGUAGUGGAAGGAUCAAUCUUCGAACGUCGAGACUUCACCCUAAUCAAAUCUGAUAUUCAGAAACACACACACCACGCAACAAAUUAGCCCAAUGUCAUGUAACACACACAACCUGGAAAAUACACACUUAAUAUAUUUGAAAUCUUGAAUGAUGUUCUUCCAUAUCUUUGUCGCCAUGGCCCAGCCACACCGCGUCUAGCUAGUGUUAAAAUGUAGCUAGUUAUAUGGAAAUGACUAUAGGUGGAUAAUCUUUUGAUCCAUACAAACUUCAUUCAGAAUGAACCGAAUACAACGACUUUGGGGCAACAAUCCGGAUUAGAUUGGCCACAGUAAGACUUCACAUGUGUACUUACAAACUCAAGAAAUUGCCAAGAGAUUUCUAGGAUAUUUCUUGUAACAUAAUGGGACUAAGACCUGUGAGAUAAGGGUUUGAGUAACUUUGAAAAGAUUUUCCACAAAUGGAAGAGAGAAAGAGAAAUGAAAGGGUCCUGGUAGAAAGGGUGUAGUAGCAAAUCCCACACUCCCCGUAUGCUGCAAGUCUGCAACUUCACGUGUUAACAACUACGUGUUGCAAGUCAAUGCAGUCUUCUUCAUAUUAACGAAAAUAGCAGUACGCUCAUUACAGCUCUACGCGUUAAGAUUUGAAAAAAAAAAA